GGUGACCCAAUUUUGGCUACUUGCCUCUCGAAAUUUCUUGGAAAAUAAUAAUCUAACCAAAUCAUAGCCAAUUCAUAACUGCUGUAAACAACAUCACAUAAAGUAAUUUGAUACAUUACACAACAAUCUUUGAUGUUAUUAUUUGAGAAGCCUUUAAAAAAGUUAAUUAGACCCCUCAAAUGCUCAUCACACUCUGAACGACUUGAUCUAACAAAUCGAUACUAGAUUUAUUGAUAAUAAGAUUUAAUUUUACAUAUAACAGUCUUUAUCAAAUAACUAGUACAUCAGACCGUACCUUGAUUUAAUUUGAUUUCUUAAUCGGAACCAAGCUUGCGGUCGAGGAAGUAAUCGCUUUGGUGUUGAUGGUGGUGAUUUUGGGCUGUUUUGGCUCGUCUGAUUCAUCGGUAUUUCGGGAUUUCACCAGAGGGAUUUGCUGUUGAGUAGCAAUGUCUCGGCCGGCGAACUUUUGAGGAGGAAAGAAGAAAUCAGUGGGGAAGAAUUUGUACUGAAGUCCAGCCAUGGGUGUAUAGAAAUGAGAUAUUUGUGUGAAGCAUUUUGAUUCGGCCUUUCACUUAUUUAUAGAGCCACAUAUCUAAGGGCCUGUUUGCCUUUCAAUAAUGCUUAGUUUUCUUAUUAUACUUAUUUAACAUAGGAAACUUGAUUAAAAUUUUAUCUUUGUCAAAAAUCGAGUGAAAUUCAUACGUUACUCAAUUUUCACCUACUCUUAAAUUAAAAAUAUUUGAGCGAUGGUGUGUUUAGUUUUUUAAAAAGGGUUUUUGGAAUUUAAGUUGAAAAUGGAAAAUAACAUUAAUCGUUGCCACCAAACAAGCCGUUAGCUAUCGUUGACCAUUUCGGGCGGCUAAUUUGAAUAGCUAUUUAUUAUUUGAAGAAUAUUUUAGUUCAUAUAUUCCACCUAAAGAAAAGGACUGAAACAUUCUACUGCAAAAUUUCCUUUUCAAAUUUAGAUUCCAAGAUAAGAGACCAUAGCCAUGAAAAGAAAAGGACUGAAAAAUUGAUUAGUUGCACGUGUCACUGGCUGAUUGUUUUCAUACGUUGAAAUGGAUUACCAUGCUACUCGCGUGCGAUUAUUAUAAUUAUCAAUAAUCACGUCAAUAACACGGUGGUUAGACCUGCCAUGGUGUCAUCAAAUCACGUCAAUUAAAUUAUGGAGAUAGUGAAUUUUGAUUUUUAUUGUGAACAAUUCGAUACUAUUUCUGUGGCAAAUAGUAAUUUUAAAUUAUUACAUUAAUCUUACCAAGCCAAAAGGACAGUCGGAUUUGAUUGGUUUUCCACCACGGUGCAUCAAAACACGUUUCAUCUGUUAGGGACGAUGAUAUUUGCACGCUCAAGGCAAAGUCAUAUAUCAUCGUGACUGUGAAAGUCGGCUGCCUCAGAUCGUCAGACAUUUGUUUAUGUUCCAAUUCAUCAGCAACUGGUAAAUAUGAGCUAUCCAAAUGGAGGUCACAUUCAAAGGGACUAUGGUUCAACAAUUUUUCAAAUUCAACACGUAGUGCAUAAGCGGCUAAACUGUGAUCCAUCGUCUUUAACUCAAUGUACAAAAGGAGUGAUGAGUCAUUUGCAAUCUUAAUUGGGGACGCUCAAUGUAGAAAAGGAGUGAUAGGUCAUUUGUAUCCUAAUUGGGGACAGGUUUCUAUCUACUUCAUAUUCGAUUUUCUAGCUACCAAUUCUACAAUCAAUCUUCAUUUCAACGGAGAUCGUAUCCACUAGAUCCAAGUACUUGAAUCAAAAGCACUUGAUUUUGAAUGUUAUGAAGACGUUCCCUGAGUCCACUACUGCAUCAAGAGAAAAAAAAUGGAAUAUAUAUCACCAUUUGAUUAGACCACAGGUACAUAACUCCAUCAGUCCAGUUUUUUAUCUUUAAUAUCCCAUAAGAAUUCCCAUCACAAGGAUCAAUGCUAUGAAACAAUUUUUCAUUUCUUAUGUACGAUGAAUGUAACCACUAUGGAUGCAUGAUGCACAGGCACGAAGUUGACAUUGGUGGAUUGGUCUUUAUCAUGUCAAAUGUGUCAAGUGGCAUGUUCAUCUUCUUUAUUGUUUUUCACGGUGUAAUGUUUGACAUGCCAAAAAAUUUAAAAAUAACCAGGAAGAAAGUAGUAUAACCUUGAACUCCAUUUUUGCAGAUUAAGUUUCUCUUCAAGUGGGGAAAAAAAAAAAAGAAAAAAAAAAAGAAAAAGAGGGACACAAUCCAAUAAAAACAUAUUUUUUAUAUAAAACUUCUAAAAGGGCACCCACAAUUACACACUAAGCAUUUUUUGUUUUUUACUCCGUCAAUUGACUAAAUUGGGGAGGAGAAAUUACUCACAGUUGCCAUUUUCUCAAAUCUUAAUAAAAAGGGGCCCACUACAUUAAAUUUCUUUAAAAAUAAUUAACCCACUUGCAUUUGAAUAACAAAGACUAUUUCAAAAAUUAAAAAUAGCAUUGAACCUUGCAUUGGAUUAUGAUUUUAAUAAUAACAAAAAUCAUAAAUAAUAUAAAACUAAAAUAAAAUAAAUAUUAUAUUGACAAUGUAUCGUGUUGGUACAUUUUUUUAAAUUACGUAUUGGACAUGUGUCAGAAAAUUGACACCUUAGCAAUGAGCAUUCCUUCGAAUUUUGUUGAAGAUAAUGAAGAAAUCGCAACACUGCAUGCCAAAUGUCUAUAUGCAGGAGUGAAAUUUGGAACGUCCUCUUGUCUUUGUAAAAUCUGAAUUCAAAUAUAUUGUUCCCAUAAAUUACAACCAUCAUUUUGAAAUCAAUCUCAUAUUUGUUUAAUAAUUAAGAGGUGUAAGGCAAUGUUUUGGUUUAGCCAUUUCUAGUGUUUUUCGUUUAAGGUUGGGACUUGAUCUCCAUUAUGAAAUCUUCUUAAUCUAAGUAAUAUUUGGUUCAAAUUAAAGCUUUUUAGAGAGAGGGAAAAAAAAAUAAUAACUUUAAACACUCACUCAAUGCCAAUAUCAUUCCCCCUUUUAACUGCUUUUGGAAGGAGUAAAUUUCAUUGUUUAGCAUGAGCUCACCUGAGAGAACUCUCUAUUCUACCAGAAAUCACAUCAAUUCUGAUUAAAUUCAGGUUUGCUAAUUCUGCUUUGUCAAUCACUGAAAAAUUACAUAUUGUUUAAAAUAUUGUUGAGGGAUUCUUUAUGGAACAAUAUAAAUUCAGUUGUGAUGUUAAAUUAGUAAGGUCAUUUAUAGAUUUAAGUUUUGUCUAGAAUUGAAUUCUCGUUCUUCAAAAAUUGAGUGUUGCUUUCUAGGUUUUUAUAAUUUUAAAUUUUAGACCACUACUGUAUUAAAUUCUUGGAGGAAACUUGUAAGUUCUAACAUAUGCUCGUUUUGAACAAGAUGAAGACUUGAGGGUUUUAUUUGGAUUGCUCCAUCUUCCUCCCAGACUUUCAAGUUACAGAUGAUGAACUAAUUUAAUUUUAAGCCUCACGGUGACCCUAGAAAUCAGUUUCUUCAUUAUUAUAAUAAGAAAUUUUUUAUGUCUCGAAUCAAACCCUAUGAGUAAAAAUCANNNNNNNNNNNNNNNNNNNNNNNNNNNNNNNNNNNNNNNNNNNNNNNNNNNNNNNNNNNNNNNNNNNNNNNNNNNNNNNNNNNNNNNNNNNNNNNNNNNNNNNNNNNNNNNNNNNNNNNNNNNNNNNNNNNNNNNNNNNNNNNNNNNNNNNNNNNNNNNNNNNNNNNNNNNNNNNNNNNNNNNNNNNNNNNNNNNNNNNNNNNNCCUCCUAUUAAUGAUGAUGUUUCUCAAGUUGAGCAUCCUCUUGUUGGUCUCAGGAUCGAUAUUUAUACAAAAGCGAUUGGCAUAAAACAAAUAAAAUUGCAGAAAGUAAAAACACAAAAAAAUUUCGUCCCUUCGAGCCCGGAUGUUCAGCCAAAGCCUAUUGUUCUUCUCACAAUCUCUCAAAUUGUAUGCAAAAUACAAUCUAAACAUCACUAAGAUUUUACAGAGAUUGAAAAUCGAAAACCACAAAAAAGAUGAAAAACUCUCAGAGAAGAUGAUAUAAAGCCCUAAAAGUGACUGGACAGUGCCAUGAAGGGUCACAGGAGGCUAUAUAUAUUCUAAACAAUGAUUUAGAUCCAAUGGUCACAAUAAUGCCAAAUGUAAGGCCAAGAAUUCAUCUCACAUUUAAAGAGAAAGUCGUGUUUCCAAUAACACAUUUUUCUUAAAGGAUAAAACCCGGUGGCCCAACCAGCAUGGCCCAAAAACCUUUAGGUUUGGCCCAAUCCAAGAAUAGAGAGGCAACACACAAAAAUCUCCACUUUGCUGAUCUAUUCUUAGGAUUCUUCUGUAGAUUCAAGACAAUCUACUAGUUUCAUUUGCUCUGAAAAAAGGAAAGAGUUAGUUUAUUUUCAAAUGAAACAGAUUCAAAGACCUUAAUUGAAUUUAUUACAUUUCAAGAUAUAUUCAGAAUUUUCAAAGAAUUUCUGAAUUUGUUGAAGGGUAGAACCUUAAUACCAAUGUCAGAAGGAUUAAAUUCAAUUAAGGAUUAAACUCAGUUGGAAUUUUAACCAAGUUAAUCAAACCUUUUUCAACCAGAUUUCUAACAAAGUAAAAGCUAAUAUCAACAUGCUCAGUCCUAUCAUGAUAUACAUGGUUUCUGCUUAAAUAGAUUGCACUUUGGUUAUUUGUACAAAUUUUAAGAACUUCAUUCAUAAAGCCAAUGUAAUGCAUUAAUUUAAAAAAAAAAAAAGGCAAAAUAGUGAGGCGGUGAAUUGGAUACACAUUAAUCAAACCCAUUAUCAAAAAAAAAAAAAAAAAAAAAACNNNNNNNNNNNNNNNNNNNNNNNNNNNNNNNNNNNNNNNNNNNNNNNNNNNNNNNNNNNNNNNNNNNNNNNNNNNNNNNNNNNNNNNNNNUUUUUUUUUUUUUUUUGCCAAUGUCUUAGGAAUUAAGUGGUCUACAUUAUUAGGUUUGAAUUAUUCAAUUUUGAAAGAUAAGUAAAAAGUUACUUUUAUAGUUGUUAGAUUGUUAGAUUAAAUUCAAUUUUAUUAAAUGGGUUAAGUAUAAUAAAUUAUGAAAUUGAGUAAAGUGAAAGAAAAACCAGUUUUAGCGAUUAAAGAGACCGUGUAAAUUACUUAAACGUGAAAUGAUUAAAUUUGGGUAUCGCCUAUUUAAUUAUUGAAAUUACUUAAAAUAAUUAAAUGUUGAUUUAAAAAUUAUAUUAUAUUUUAUGCGGCAAUACUGACAUUGGGACAACUUAUCGAUCGAGUUGAUUUUGCGAACAUAGUACCGUGAGUGGAAAAAUAUAAAUAUUUUACAGUAUUUAUAAAUUAAGUAUAUUGUUAAAGAAUGUGCAAUUAUAUGUAAUUACGUGUUCGAAUUAUAUGAUUUUUAUGGAAGUAUUUUUUAUUAUGAUACAUGUGGGAUUUCAAAGAUUGUAUACGGUACAUUGUGAAUUGGAAUAUGAGAAGUGAUUUUGAGAUCGACCAGAAAAGUACCCGUGAUUAUAUAUUUCUUCUAGUUCACUGAGAGGUCUUGUCGUGUUCUAUACUACACUGAGGGGUCCUUGACCGGGGAUGAAGGGAUCUCGACCGUGUACAUAUAGUUCACUGAGGGGCUUUGCUCGUGUUCUAAAAUUGAUUACCAGAGAUUUUUGAGACCGACUUUCGUUCACGGAAGGGGCCAAAGGCCCGUGGCGAAAGUUCUUAGCCCGAGGGGCGGAUUACAUAUUUUAAUCAGAGGGUACAAUUUUGGUGGAUUUUUCAGUACAUUUGAGGUGUUGAGAUUAUAGCAUAAUUACCAUCUUAUGUUCAUAUCAUGAUUUUAAGAUGAUAUUGUAUGACUUUAUGUGAAUAUUUCACUUUUUGGCUAUAAUUACAUGAUGGUAACUUGUGAAUUAUCAAAUGAUGUGAAUUUGAUUUUCAAUAAAAAUGUGUAAAUGAAAAAGUAUAAUUAUUUUUGAACUUCUCCACUCACUGAGCUAUCAACUCAUAUAUUUUCUCGUAAUUUUUCCUACAGGUAGCAAUUGAUUCUUUUUAGCUGAAAGAACCUAAUGAUUUCGGAAUGACAGCCACACGAUAUGUUGAGUGUUAUAAAGUCAUAUUGAUGGGGGCAUAAAGUAAAUAUUUUGGGCCCAUCGCAUUAUGUUUUACAUAAACAUUUGAUUUUGUUGCAUAGUUAGCCUUGGUGAUAGAAUUGACAUCUAGUCAACAUCUUUCAUCGACGCACGUCACGUUUCGGGUCCACUAAGAUGAUUCGGGACGGAUCGUGUCAGCCAAGUUCAUUUAAUAAACCCCUUAACCAUAGUCCCUCUUUGACAGCAUCACAUGCUGCAAUGUACACAGCUUCUGUAGAAGAUAAAACUACAAGUUUUUGUAAUUGGAACUUCCAACUAAUACAACAAUCACAAAGAGUAAACACAUAAGAAGUUGACCUUCUUUCAUCUAAGUCACCUACAAAAUUAGAAUCUGUAUACCUCUUUAAGAUAACACCUUUAUUACAUCUUUGAAAUUUUAAUCUCAGUCCAAUUGAACCUUUUGAGUACCUUAUCAUCUUUUUAAUAGCUAGCCAAUGUGUCUAGCCUAGAUUAGCCGUAAAUCUACUAAGAAUGCUUAUUCCAUGAGUCAGGUCAAGUUUGGUAGAUAAUGGAGCCAACAGUACUUGCAUAAGGUAUUUUACAUAAUAGAAUCUUUACAAAAGGAGUCAAAUUCAAAAUUACAAAAUCCAAGGCCAUUAUCUACUCUAAGUGCUUUGAUCUUUUUAUUUAUCUGUUUUCCUAUCAUUAGUUUCCAUUGCUUAAAAGUUUGGAAGGUAUUUGAUUUAUGUUUUAAAAGAGAGGUCUAGAUUUUUCUUUAAAAAUUAUCUAUUAUUAACAAAUAAAAUUUGAAGCCACUUGGAGUAUUUAUUGAUGCUAGGCCCCAUAAGUUAGCAUGUACAUACUCGAGUGUAGAAGUGAAUUUAUGGACCCCUAUUUUAAAGGGCAGUUUACUUUGUUUAACAAUAACACAAUCUUCACAAAAUUCAAGAUUUUCAAUAUCAUCCUUUCCAAAACAUUUUAAUUUAUUUAAAAUUGUCAGACCUUUCUCACUAAUGUGGCCAAGUCUCCUAUGCCAAAUUAGGGUUUUGUUAUCAUGAGAUUUCACAAUUCUAGAGCUGUUUCCAACUAAUGGUUUAGCUUGCAGUGUCAAAAUCUCAUUCGAUUUCGGAGAGGAAAUUAUUUCUCUAGAGUUUAGACUUAUUUUGGUCAAUCCUUUAUGGAUCCUAAUUUCAUAUUCAUCAUCCAACUGCCGAAGAGAAAUCAAUUUUCUUUGAAGAUUAGGUACAUACUUAGUUUGGGACAGUUCAAAGGUAUUAUUAUUCUCUAGCAAAAGCUUAAGGUUUCCAAUACCUUUUAUCUGACAAGUCAUAUUAUUUCCCAUCUGAACUUGACCACCUCUAAGUUCAGUUAAGCUAGUGAACCAUUCUCUAAUGGGACACAUAUGAAAUGAGCAACCAGAGUUUAAAAUCCAUUCAUUUAGGUUUCUUUUGGACGUGAUAACUAGGUCAACCCCUGAAUAUUAGGUUCAUUAUUGUAGGCAAUUGUUGUAGACCCAUCUGAGUUUGUUUUUCCUUUCAUGUCAGAUAUUUUUUUUAAAACAAUCUUUUAUGAGGUGUCCUGUUUUUUCACAAUAAUAACAUUUUACGGCUGGUAACUUCGACUUUGAUUAAGUUUUAUUCUGAUUCCUGAAUUUUGGAAAUUAAGGUUUUCUUUUCUUGUGUGAAUUGAAAUUGCAUUGAUUGUAGUUUUUGUUUGGAUUUACCUUUUCCCUAAUAUUUAGACCUUCUCCAAACUUAGAUCUUUAGAUUCAAAUUUCAAUUCGAGUUCCCUAUUCCUUAAAGAUGAUAUAACAAUAUCAACAGUAAUGUCGAUUCUUCCGUACUCUAAAGCGUUUCUCAGAUCUCUAUAUUUAUCACCUAAUGCAUUUAACAGAGCAGCAACUUGUUGAUCUUGAGAUAACUUCUCAUCGCAGUUAGUUGACUCUUGAAUCAAUCUUGUGAAUUUAUCAAUGUUUUCUUCUAAACUUGAGGAGGGAUCAAAUCUAAAAUUGUAGCAUUGCCUCAAAAUAUAGCAUUUGUUAGGCAAGAUUUAGUUAGGUAUAGGGACUUAAGUUUGGUCAAAAGACCUUGUGUAUUAAUAGGUUUUCCAACCAUCCUAAUAACACUGUCAAACAGGUGCAAGAAUAUAGAACUCCAAGCAAUCUCAUCCAAUUCCUAUCUUCAAUAGGCACUAAUUUUAGUACCCAUGUCCCAUCAAUAGCCUAACACAUCUCUGUUGUAAUAAUAAAACCCUCAUUUUCUGGUACCACAAACUAAAAUCUCUGGUCCCUUUCCAAAUUUAUACUUCAAAUUUUUGUCAAGUUGUCAUGAUUACAGAUUCAAGUUUAUAUGUGCCACAGGAUAUGAUAGGUAUAGACUGUGUGAAAGAACAAUAAAGAUUCAAAUAUCCCAGUCUAGUAUUAAGAUAUACAAUUGAUCAACAAUAAUAAUUAAAUCAGGUUAGCUACCAAUUUGAUAGGUCUAAGGAGAGGUGACUCGUAAAUCCACUACCUCCUUAGAUUCCCAGAUCCUCGCAGGAGAUUUUGGACAAAGGAAGGUAGUAGUAGAUCACUUACCUUAAUAAACAAAUCAAGAUAGGCAGUAAACAAUUUAAUAAUUGAUUGAAAAAUAAGAGAGUAGGGAAAUUAUACGAGAAUUAAAACCUUAAUGUUUCAAAGUGGAGAAGGUAGCAAGCAAAUACCAAAACCGGUUGCAAAGUCCAAAAUAUUGCACAAGAAGCCAACGAGUCACAGCAACUCAAUGUAACUUAGGAGUGAGUCAUAAGAUAUCAAGAAUUGUGGUGAGUCAAGUUAAUUCACCAUCACUCAGAACGAGUUUUGAAAAAUACAACUCAGUAGUAAUCAGAAAACAUAGAACUUCAAGAACCCAAGAAACCACAAAUUUCUUUCAAAAACAAGAACUAACAAUAUCAUGAAGUAUUCAAAGAUCCAAUCAAAAAUUUAAUCAAAGGUAAAUCUUAGCCAGAAUUUCAGAAAAACUCAAAAAAAAAAAAAUGGAAAAAUUCAUAUAUGCAAUUUAGGAUUUUNNNNNNNNNNNNNNNNNNNNNNNNNNNNNNNNNNNNNNNNNNNNNNNNNNNNNNNNNNNNNNNNNNNNNNNNNNNNNNNNNNNNNNNNNNNNNNNNNNNNNNNNNNNNNNNNNNNNNNNNNNNNNNNNNNNNNNNNNNNNNNNNNNNNNNNNNNNNNNNNNNNNNNNNNNNNNNNNNNNNNNNNNNNNNNNNNNNNNNNNNNNNNNNNNNNNNNNNNNNNNNNNNNNNNNNNNNNNNNNNNUAUAGUCCAACCAAUGAUCUAGAUCCAACAAUCACAAUAAUACCAGAUGUAGGACCAGAAAAUAAUCUCACAUUUAAAGAGAGAGUCACAUUUUUAAUAACGCAUUUUUCCUAAAAGAUAAAACUGACAAUUAGAUUUGGCCUAAUCCAAGAAUAGAGAGGCAACCCACAACCCUCCCUUCACAAGACCAAUGAAUUUUGAAAACAACCUAUCGAAUUCUGCACCCUUUGCACAAAUUAAAUCCUAGGAUGUAAUCACUAUAUACUCGGAGACUAAAGGGACAAGCCAUAUAUUUUACAUGACUUGUAUUUUUGUAAAAUUCACCAAAGGUAGCUGCAGGAAUGGAGAGCAUUACACAUUAGCUCAUGGUGUUGAAGAUUUACGAAAUCCCCUCCAAAUUGGCAAGAACUUGUUCGAGGAAAGAAGAGAGGCACUGGAGUUUUGGUGCUGACCAAAGAAUGAUACACAGGAUGAAAAUUUGCAAUUUGUUUUACAGUGGACGCGAGUGUCAAUAUGGAGUGCAACUUUCUUCAUGAAUGUCCAAUGAAAUUUAUGACUUACAAAGCAAAAGUGAGUGUUGUUAAAAGUACUAGAACUUCAUGGCCCGAUUUGAUAAAUAAAAGUGAUUAUUCUUAGCUUGAUUAUGUUAAGAACAUCAGCAGUAAUUCUGAUACUUUCCAGCAAAGACAGCAUUUUGGAAAACGAUACUAGGUUGCAACUGGGAAAUUGGCCAAUGCCCUUUUGGAGAAACAUGUCAUUUUUCUCAUGAUAUUUACUCUCGUAGUACAAUUUAAAUCUAUUUUUUUUUUUUUUGGCCUAGUUCAGUACAAUUAAUGUUUUUGCUAUGAACAUAACUUGCUGAUUUACCAUGUUUAGCAACAUCCUUUUACGGCAUUAACAGAAAAAUGAAGGUUUUCAUUAAAUAGCAACAGAUAACACAUUUUGUCCUUUUUAGCUAACUAAAAAUUUUGGUGAUUCAAAUAACACUUUCAAAAUACCAUUACGAAUAUUGAUAUUUAUUUUAAAAUGACACGUAUACGCAGUUAUACUAUAAUAUUUGAAUCAAAAUGAAAGACAGGGAAUAUCAUGAAAACUAUUUUAUCAAGAUCCUAAUGUUUCUCUUUUACCUAAUUCAAGGCCCUUCUUAUAAUCAAUUUCAAUAAAACAUUUCCUACUUGAGCAUCGUUUUCAAUUAGUAGCAUGUUUAUUUCCUAUUGGAAAUACUUUACAUUUUAAGUAAACUUCCAAUACAUAUGCAGUUGCAUGGUUAUCGUGUUGAGACAGAGAUGGUAAUGAAUUCAGGCCACAAAAUUCUAGAAGAGCCCCUCCUAGGCCUGUAAUUGGUUUAUCUUGUGCAACUGCAGUCAUUGUUGCUCCUGCAAAUUAAUAUGAAGAAAGAAAAAAAUGGAAGCAUGACAGGCAGGUUAAGGAGAUUUAUGUUGAUUGGUUGGAUGAUUUCUUGCCACCUCACAACUCUUCUAGCAAUGAAUAGAUAUGAAUUUGAGAUUAGCAUUUCGCAAUUACUGUCAGACUUUUUGAAGAUGAAUGAUUAUCAUCUUUUGACUAAACUUUUUUCUCUUUAUUUGGGAUGUUGGUAAGUUUUAAUUUCAACGAUAGAUUCCACCUAUUUUCCUUCAUUGAUUGGAAUCAUUCAGUGUAAUUUUGAUUGAAUGAUUUUCUGUAGUAGGUUCAAAUACAUUAUUUUUGUUUUUAUGGUCAUGUUUUUAUGUUUUAAAGGCUCUAUUGUGUUCGUUAAAUCAUCAUGAUACAAUUUUUAACUCUCUCUAUAUGUACUUUUUGCCUCCUUACCAUGACAUGCAUAUGCAACCAAGCAAGGUUUUCCCGUUAAUACAGAUCCAAGGUGAAAAAUAAGUUUGGCUGCUUUUAAAGAGGCCCGAUGUAGGACAUUUUAAAAUUAUACUUGGCCCAGCCAACACGUCCAAGUGCAGUCGAUUUUCAAUUCUCUCUCUCUCUCUUUAUUUUUUUUCUUAUUUUUUUGUUUUUUAAGAAAGAAAGCCAAAGGUAGCCUACACAGCCUAUGGUUGAGACCGUAACGGGAGGGAAAACACAGAAUGAUAAUGGCAUACACCAAAACUAAUUCAUUGAUAAUGUAAUGAAGGCAAGCAAAGUUGGGAAUUAUAUCAUAAAAAAUACUCAAUCUUAUUGCCAUAAAAAGUUAUUGCAGAUUACAUUCCAAUUUAUACAUACUAGAGGACAAUGGGAAAUGCAUCAAAAUAAAUGUGGCUAUUACAUAUCCAAGAAGACUCCUUAAAUUACUCAAUCAAUUAUUGAAAUACUAGUAGACACUUGGAAAAAAUAAAGUUCAGUAAAUGAUUCUUGAAUUCAUUAGUGAUCAUUAAAAAAUGCUAAAAUUCGAUAAAAUGUACAAACUAAAUAACAAUGAAUAUAGAAUUACAAAUAUAUCCAAUCAAUUCAUUAAUUGUUGAGUUCAAAACAACAUAAAGUAAAAUUAAUUUACCAAAAAAUAGUUAGACUUCAACUUUUGAAAAAGCUAUCUUGUACAAGUGGAAUACACGUCUUCCCAUAAGGGAUAUAAUAUGCAAACAAAUAAGAAAAACUCAUCAUGAACUUGAUAAAAUCUAUGUUGUAGCAAGAAAUGUAGGAAAAUCACAUUAAAAUUGUAGGUUUCCUUAAAAUUUUCAUCAAUAUAAUCUUGUUAUUUGACUCUAAAAAUUGAUAUAAUACAACAAUACAUACAAUGUAGAUUGAGAUAAAGUCUUUACAAUUACUACAAAAUGCAUCAUCUAAGGUCCUUGUGUUAGACAACUUGUUGUCAAACGAUCUUCUAGGGCCGUGAUGAUAACUCAAUUAUAAUUUCAGUCGGCUUAGACCAAAUGACUGAGUGAUUUAUUGACACCAUGAAAUGAAUGACCAAACUCCAAUUUGGAUGGGCCACUCGAAGCGAACUAAUUUAGUAAAGUUGCUUACGACCCGACCCAUUCACUUGGAUGGCUUAGCAAUAAGAUCCAUUUUAUUGGCCCGCUAUUAUUUGGUGUUGGGCCUCUCAGGCCACAACCUUAACCUAACAUAAUUUACCUAAUUUUUUUAGCCUAUUUGGUUAGAAUGACAGUCUCUCCUUUGCUGCCUCCAGCGCAUGAUUUCGCUGCCUUCUUUCUUCUCCAUCUCUCGGUUCAUUCUCAGUUUGCUACCUUUGCGAUUGAUCUUUGUGAGAUUAUCUGCUAUCCUUUGUGGUCUCUUUGUGGGCAUUGACUAACAAUCAUGAAAGGAGAAGAAAUCUAGUUGGAUGUGCUUGGUCUUGUUCGGUUGUGGUGUUGAUCAUAGUGGUGAAUUGAGCUUGGUAUUACCUUGGUGGCUAUGAGUUUUCAUCUACAUCUGAUGUUAAGGCAUGGAGGUUGAAAAUCCAGCUAAAAUUGCAAAGGAGACGUGAUUUCCCUUUCGAACCCGAAUCUAAAAAUUCCAAAUUUCAGCCAAACGAGACCUCCAGUGGAUGAACGGUAGCUGGACCCAUACUUAGCAAAGUGAAACACCUCCAGUGGUGGGAAGCAUGAUGGUGGCGACGUGUACAACAACUUUUCGACGAGCUUUUUUCAAGCAGAAUACUUAUUUUGAUCUCCUAAACAUAUUGAUAUCGUUUACUCAAUGUUUUGGGUUACGUAGGAAAACUUGAACGAUUUUGCCGCCGGAUGCACAUUCUAUGAUUGAUUGGAAAGUUGCAUUGAAAAAAUAUUUGCUGAAUCUUUAGGGCGAAUAGUAGUGGCCCUAAAGCAGUAAAUUCGCAUCUCUUGUAAUUUACGGACUCGGAUAGGUCUGCUCUGGUAAAUUGGCUUAACUUGUUUAAUUUUCAAAAUGAGCACAUCGCCGUUUGAGGUGGCAAUAAGAUUGUAAUUACUGUAAGGGGUAACAUUGAUUGUGCUAGAAAUUAAGAUUACUUGAUCUUAAUUGUUUCAAUUGAGCACUUGCUUUUGAUGAAUUAGCUUAUUGUUCUUUGUGCUAUAAAUGUUGUGAGAUCUCUUUUGAUUGGACAUAUCUAUUUUGUUGCAUUGUCAAUUCUGUUAAUUUCAUUAGAAUACCGAGACUUUAUCUGUUAGAACAUUCUCUUGAUCUAAAACCACGAGUCUUAUGAAACCUUGUGUGGUUUGAUUGUGAUUUGUUCAUUUUUUAGUUGUUUGUGAAAAUGACAACUCACAACUUCGAGUUGAGAAUUUUUAUUGAAAAUUUUGAUUUUUCAAUCUAGCAACAAAAAUUGAAGGGUAUUUUAGUCUAACAAAAAGUUUCAAAAGCCAUUGAAGAUAAUUUUUCAGCAAAUUUUUCAAAAGAACAAAAAGAAAAAAUUGAUGACCUUGGACUUGUCUAACGCUAUUUUAAGAAAGGUGGGCAAACUCAAAACCACCAAAUAAUUUUGAAAAAAAUCGAAAGACUUGUAUUUACUCAAAUCUACCCCGAACAAGCUUUACUUACUUGAGCAUUUCUUCACUUUAAAAUGAAUCCUUCAAAUGAUCUUGAUAACAAUUUAGAUGUGUUUAACAAGUUAGUUUAAAAUAUUGUUAGCUAUGAAGAAAUAGUGUCUGAAUCCUACAAGGCCAUAAUUUUGCUUAACUCUAUGUUUGACACGUAUAAAGAAGUUAAAAAUGUAAUUAAGUACAACGGGGACAGUUUGACGUCUGAAAUUGUAAUUGACUUAGAAGUAAGGAGAUGAAAAUUAGAUCUAAAAAACAUGAUAAUAAAAGCGGAGAGAAACAUAUGAUACGAGGUAGAACUCAGUUUAGGUAAAAUAGUCUUGACGAAUACCAAAGUAGUGAUGAGUUAAGUAGUAAUGGAGGGGGAAAAAAGGGGCAAGAAUAGGUCUAGAACAAAGUCUAGAACAAAGUUUAAAAAAUACUAUGGCUAUGAAAACACGGGGCAUUUUAUAAAUGAAUGUUAUAAGGAGAAAGGUAAGUUAAAGGUCAAAGAGAGAGAUGAGACGAAUGUGUUGUCUUCUGCCCCGAUGUUGAUGACGGUGAAGUUUACAUGAUUACAAGUUCUAUUGCUUAUACUGCUGAACUAAAUCUAACUGCUAAUUCUUCCAUGCAUGGGUGGAUACUUAAUUUUAGUGCAUCUUUUCAUGUGAUAUCCAUGAAAAGAAUUGGUUUGAAAACUUUCAUGAAUCUAAUACUUGGCAUGUUGUGUUGUGUGAUAAUUUUGCCUACACCUUGAAAGAUGUUAGAUAUAUUUCUGAACUGUCUAGGAAUUUAAUUUCAAUAAUAAGACUUGAAAAAGAUGCCUUCACCGGUAAAUUUGGAAAUUGAACAUUAAAAAUGAUUAAGGGUGCAUUAGUUUCUAUUAAGUGAACUAAGAAAAGUGAUAUUUAUAUCACUACUAGAGAAGUAAUUAGAGGUUUAAACUCCUCUAUUUCUUCUUCCAAGGUUGAUCACACACAUACAUAGCAUAAUAAACUAAUACACAUAAGCAUUAGAGGACUCAAGCUUCUUAAUGAAAAAUUGCAUUUGUUAAUGAUUGUGUGCUUGAUUUGUCAUUCUGUGAUCACUAUGUGCUUAAUAAACAUAAUCGAACUUCUUUCUUCGCUAGUGUUCACAAAGCUGAAGACAUGGUUGAAUAUGUGCAUUCAAAUCUGAAGGGUCCUGCUAGUAAUUCCACAUCGGGUAAAAAUAGAUAUUUCUUGCCUAUUAAUGAUGACUAUAGUAUGGGUCUAUCUUUUAAAGGAUAGAUCCGAUACUUUGCACAACUUUAAUAACUGGAAAAGACAAAUAGAAACCAAGCUGGCAAAUGGAUUAAAUUCUUGAGAAUAGGUAAUGGCCUAGAUUUUUGUAACACUGAAUUUGAUAGUAUGUGCUAGGAAAAUGGAAUAACAAGGCAUGAGACUUUUCCUUACACUCCUAGGAAAAAGGGAUAGCUGAAAGGAUGAAUAGAACCAUACUAGAUAAAGUACUUCAUAUAAUGUUAUGUACUGGUGUCCCAAAGUCGUUUUGGAAUAAAGCUGUUAUGACUGCCUGUUAUUUGAUUAAUUUGACUCAUUCUUCUACUCUAAAUGGUGACACUCUUUAUGAAAGGUGGUCUGAUAAACUAAGUGAUUACUUUACACUUAGGACUUUUGGCUAUGCUGCAUUUUCUCAUUAAAGUAAGGGAAAGCUUGAACCUAGAGCUAGAAAGUUUGCCGUUCUAGGAUAUCCUGAGGGUGUUGGUUAUAGGUUAUGGGAUGGAAGCCAAAAAGGAGUUAAGAUCAUCGUAAGUCGGGAUGUCAAAUUUAAAAAGGGUGAGAUGUCUUUCCUUAAGGAUGAACCGGACCUAUGAGUAAAAUAGAACCAGGUAAAGAGAGAGAUCAAUUUAAGGUGGAGUUUAGGAAAACUUAGCACAUUUAUCCCUACUACUCCAAAUUAGAGGCUCAGGUUCAGGAGAAGGGUGUUGAUUAUAAUGAGAUUUUUUUCAUCAGUUGUUAAAUAUACUACUAUUAGGGUCAUGAUUGCAUUGGUUGCGUAUUUUGACUGGGAACUUGAACAACUUGAUUGAAAAGUUGUAUUUUUAUGUGGUGAACUUGACGAAUAAAUCCUUAUGAAUCAACCGAAAGGUUUUAAAGACAAACUAAAACCAAAUCAUGUGUGUUUCCCCAAAGGGUCCUUAUACGGCUUAAAGUAGUCACCUAGAUAAUGGUAUAAAAGAUUAUACUCUUUUGUACUCACUAUAGGGUUUCAAAGAAGUAAGUUCAACCAUUGCCUAUACUUUCAAUAUAACGAGACUGAAAAUAACUGUGUUUUUACUGCUCUAUGUGGAUGAAAUACUCUUGAUACCCGAUUCAAUCGUCAAUCUUCCUCUCUAUAUUUCAUCUUCAAUCUUCAAUGUAGAUGAAAUAACUGUGUUUUUACGAUUUAUUUCAUCUUCAAACGUCGCAUCCUGAAUUUACAAUUAUGGUGUGGGACUUCCUCAAUCGGAACCUAUCCUCGACAACCACGACCACAUCCACCAACCAUUAUAACUAAUGGAAUUUAUCUCCCAAGAAGAUGCUGACACUUGAUACCAACUGACGCCGUAUAGGAUAGUGAUUAUCCUAUUGGCUUGUUGUAGUAGAUGAUUUGUUAAUUACCCUGCUGUCAACACACAUACGCCAUGACCCAUCUUUCUUCGGCACUAGUAGAGCAGGAACUGCACAAGGACUCAUACUCUCACGAAUGUAGUCCCUUUCCAAUAGUUCUACCACCUGUCGUUGCAACUCUUCAGCUUCCUUGAGACUGAGGUGAUAAGCUGGUCAGUUUGGUAUACUCGACCCCGGAAUAAGGUCGAUCUGAUGUUGAAUGUCCCUCAUAGGUGGUAAUCCUGGUGGAAGAUCCUCCGACAACGAGUCAGAAAACUCCAUCAGUAGUUGCUGCACUUCUACUGGUAAUUCCCAAUCCACAUUCGCUGCACUAUUUUCACGAGGCAUUAAAGCUUAAACUAUUUUUUCACGCCCAACCUCAACCAAGAACUUGGACAUAGAAAGUAGAUUGGUGUUAUUAACUAACGGGGCAGGGAUGUUUUCUUCCCUACGAGACGCCAAACAAUUUUCUUCCCUUUGGUGCCAAGAGAAUAAGUAUUCUUCCACCCAUCAUGGAUAACGCUGCCAUCAUACUAUCAAGGUCGUCCCAACAAAACAUGACACGCAUCCAUUGAUACCACAUCACACCAAGCAUUAUCAAAAUAUUUUUUUCCAAUCGAAAAAGACACUAAGCACCAUUUUUCUACCGUUACCUCACUACCUUUAUUCAGCCAAGACAAUUUGUAUGGUUUGGGAUGACGAUUCGUCUUCAGUUGCAGUUUCUCGAUAGCCUCCUUAGACAUUACAUUCUCACAACUGCAACUAUCAAUUAUCAGCUUGUAGACUUUAUCAGCAACUGUGCAGGUUGUGUAGAAAACGUUGGUCUUCAACCAGUCGUCCCUUGAAUCGCCUUGGGAGUCAGCAGGCUCUUUCUAACGACCAGUGUCUCCUGGCCAUCUCCAUAUAGCACGUCCUCAUCUUCACCAUUAUCAUACACAGGCUCCCCAACUUCCUCGAACUCCUCUAUCAUAUCUUCCUCAAUCAGAAGAUUUUUAUUCUUCUGACUAGCAGGCUUCCUGCAAUUAAUCGCCCUAUGCCCCUGUUCACCACACCUGAAACACUUAAUACUUGAGUUGGAAUUGUCCUGCUGUGGCUGAUAAGCAGGACGAGAUUCUUGAGGGCGAACUGACUGACUAACUUUACCUCUGACCAUUGGCCUCCUACUCUGCUAUUUCUCCACUGCAAGUGCCCGUUGAUAUGCCUCAAAAACCAUCUACAAUGAAUGAAGGCUGAGAACAUCCUGCAGGGGCGGCCUUAAUCCCCCCAAAUAUCGUGCUACCAUCUGCUCCUCUGUCUCAGAUAAAUCAUUCCGAACCACCAGCUAAUAGAAUUCCUCAGUAUAAUCAUUGACGGAUCUUUUGCCUUGCCUCAGUGAAUGGAGCCUCUGAAACAAGGUUUGAGUGUAGUUCAAAGGGAGGAAGUGCCAUUUCAUCUUCUUCUUCAUCUUUUCCAGGUCAGUAAUUUUGGAUUUUCCUUGUCAUUCCCGUGAACGCUUCAACUAUUCCCACCAUGCAGAUGCUCUACCUUUGAGUUUGAUGGCGAUCAAUUUCACUUUGACAUGAUUUAUAACCUCCUUAUAUUCAAAAAUCCGCUCCACUUCAUUUAGCCAAUCAAUAAAUCCUUCAGCGUGCAACAUACCAAUUGACCUUAAAGUGGAUACCACCAGAUCAUAAUCAGGCCUGGAGAUGAGUGGAAGACUGCGUUCAAGACACAUCAUGGAUUGUACGAGUGGAUGGUCAUGCCCUUUGGACUAUCCAAUGCACCCAGCACUUUUAUGAAGUUUAUGCAUCAGGUUUUACGGUCUUUCAUGGGGAAGUUUAUGGUAGUCUAUUUUGACGACAUACUUAUUUAUAGUCUAACAUGGGAGUCACAUUUUAAUCAUCUCCGUGUUGUCUUUGAUGUAAUGAGGACGGAGCGCUUAUUCAUCAAUCAGAAUAAGUGUUCUUUCUUCACAACUUUCAUAACUUUUUUAGGGUUUUGUCGUGUCUACUAAUGGUGUUCAUGCAGAUCAAUCCAAAAUUGAGGCAGUUUUGAAUUGGCCCAAGCCAAAAACUUUGCACGAUGUCAGGAGUUUCCAUGGAUUGGCAUCCUUCUAUCGUCGGUUUAUCAGAAACUUUAGUACCUUGAUUGCUCCUAUCACAGAGUGCCUUAAAGGGCGUGAUUUUCAGUGGACCGAGGAGACAGAGGCUAGCUUUCAGUUGGUUAAGCAGAAGAUGAUGGAGGCCCCAGUCUUGGCACUUCUGGACUUUGAGAAGGUGUUCGAGGUAAAUUGUGAUGUGUCUGGAGUUGGUAUUGGUGGUGUUCUGAGUCAGGAGGGGCAUCCAGUAGCCUUUUCAGUGAGAAGCUAUCGGGAUCGAAGAAAAAUUAUUUCACUUAUAACCUAGAGUUCUAUGCCAUAGUUCAGACUCUGAAGCAUUGGCGUCAUUACCUGGUACAGAGGGAGUUCAUCCUUGUUACUGAUCAUGAGGCCUUGAAGUAUAUCAAUAGUCAGCACAAGCUGAGUAGGCGACAUGCAAAGUGGGUGACAUACUUGCAGGAGUUUACUUUCACACUAAGGCAUCAAGCAAGGAGUUUGAAUCGAGUAGCAGAUGCAUUGAGCCAUCGUACAUUACUCCUCACCACCAUGAGUACCAAGAUUGUCGGAUUUAAGCCAUUUCUUGAUAUGUAUGCUGCAGAUCCUUCAUUUGGGAAGAUAAUUUGGGAGGUAACUGAUAAUCAUCGACUUCUAACCGUAACACUAAGUUUAUGAGUCAUUUCUGGAGGAGUUUAUGGGAUUUCAGAGUAUUUUCUAUGGUUUUUGGGGCAUUUUCUUUUGUUUCUUUCUUGCGAAUCAUCUGCUACAACAAGUCAAUAGAAUAAUCACUAUCCUACAUGGCAUCACUCUUGGAAGACUUAUUUUUUUGGAUCGUUGCAUCUCCUAGAUGUGAAUGGUUAGAAUCAGGCGACCCAUGAACAUUGUCCCUUGCAUCCAUCAAAUUGCUUAUUGAACAAGUGAUGCGUCUUGAAGGAGUUUCCAGAUUUUCAUUCUUGGUAUCCAAUAACUCUAUUGACAGUGCAGUAUAGAACUACUGGUUGUUCUUGUUGAAUCCUAUAGUUGAAAUGCAUUUUGGAGUUUCCAUCUAAUAGGUCAGAAGCUUGAUGCCUGUGUGUAAUCUCUCAAACAGGAUUUUAAUACAUUGUUUAAUGCAGAGAUUGCAAAUAAUGAAGUUUUAUAGAGAUUGGAAUCAGAGAUUGCAAAUAAUGAAGUUUUAUAGAGAUUGGAAUCAUACUCUCUCCAUCCAUAUCUUCAAUAGAUUUACAUGGAUCGUGAGGUUGAUGGAAAAUGAAAAGAAUCAGUGUGUGUGUGUGUGUGUAUCAGAAACGAAGAUUUUUUAGAUGAAAAAUAUGGUGAGAUCACAGGUUGAGAUAUGAUUUGUAGAGUUCUUGGAAUGUAUUGAAGAUCUUUUUGUUUUGAUUUACCAAUAUCUUAGUUCAAUGGUUUACUGGUAAAGGCUGGAGAUUUGGGAAAUAGGACGUGAAUUGGAGAUGGUUUAUGAGGCGUGUCUGGUGGCAUGAUUUCAGCUUUUAGUAUAUUAAAUAUGGGAUUGAGGAUAUUUUCCAUUUUUCAUUUAUACUACAUAUAUUGUAGCAUAUUUGGAGAUAAAAGUUUGGAAAGGUAAAGAAUGAAUUUUUAAUAAAUUUGAAGUAUGAGGUGCCAUUUCCUCUAGAAUAAAUUUGUUGAUUCAAUUUUAUACAGUUUAAUUCUUGAACAUUCAUUCUAUACCUAUGUGUACUUAAAUUUUUUUGCAUGUGUUAGUUAUUUAUAUUUAGAAUAAUAAAUGCAAUUUUAUGAUGAAACCAAAUUAUGAAAAGUUACAAUUAUACUCAUAUUUAGUUUGCACGAGUGUUUAAAGUUCUUAGUGUUUUUUUUUUCCUUCUAAAAACGUAAAAACUGAGCCAAAAAUUACAUAGAUUAAGUAGAAUUCAAAUCGAGAUCAAGGUCCAUUCCAAAAGGGAACCAUAGAAAUGACUUAAUCCAAAAGUGUCUUACACCUCUUAAUUACGAAAUAAAUAACAGAUUAUCUUCAAAAUGGUGGUCGUAAUUUGUGGGACUAGUACAUUUGAAUUCAGAUUUUACAAAAACAAUAGAACGUUCAAUUUGUACUCCUACAUAUAGACAUUUGGCAUUCACGAACAACAAGGAAUAAUUUUCUAAUUCUUGAAAAUUAUUAUAAUAAAUUUUUAUAUACCUCAUUACAAAAAAGAAAUUAGAGUAUUUUGUUCACUUAUCUGAGUCGUUAAAUGAGACAAAUUAUAAUUAAUUUAGAAGACUUAUGGCUUAAUAGAUGGUAAUAUGGUUUGUAGGGAAAACUCAAGGCAAAUUAGUGGAAUUGAAAGAAAUGAAUGAAAAGGGGCAAAACCAAUCCAAAGUUCGAGACCAAAACGUAAACAUCUAAUAGUUUAUUCGAAUCAUAAAAUGAUGAUUGAAAAUAACAUAUGAGCAAUUGGAUGAAAUUGGAGUUCAAAGGAUUGAAAUAUAAGUAUUUUCGCAAUUCAAUUUUCAACCAAAAAAUUAUGUUUCGGAUUUUCAGUCUCAGAUUGAGAAGCAUUUUUUAGGUAGCAAUCAUUUUGAUAUCGGCUGAAAAGUUAUUAUCAAAAUAUCGAAUGCUACUCAAGAACGAACUUAUGUGAAAUAGAACGGGCACUCACAACCUUAUAUAUAAUUUACAGUGAACAAAACUAGUCCACGAAACGUGCUCAGUGAACCUUAUGGCACAUCGCCCGACCCAAAUAGAGAAUAGGGUAAAACACACUCUCUUAUAUCUUCAUACACAAUACUAUCAUCAAGAACAAGAGGUCAAUUCGUCACUUUUGAGGUAUAAGAUCAAACUCUAGCAAGGAAUUGAAGGCCAAUCCGAUCUACAAAUUAAAGAUUUCAACCUUGGACUUGAAGAUCAAUUCCUUGGAGAUUAUUUCAUGAUUUGGGUGAUAUUUUUCCAUAAUUUCAUUUGUAAUUUACAUAUUAAUAUGCUAGUCUAGAUCUGCUUUUGUAUUGGGUGAAGUGAAUCCUAUUGUUAUUUAUUUUAAUUCAUGACUAGUCGUUUUGUUUUUCUUGAUUAAUUUUGCAUAUUUAAGCAUUAUUUAAUUGCUUUAUCACUAAUUAGAUAAUUUAGAUGUUUUGUAGAGUUGAAAGACUCAUAAUAAGUUUAGAAUGCAACAAAAUUAACAUAUGACUAAUAAAUAUUAGGAAUAAUAAUUAUCAUGUGUGUAAUAAUAUUGAUAAUAUGAAAUUUAGUGUGUUCUAAUUAUUCAUAUUUGGGCUAGGAAUACACUCGGAUUAUGAUUAGAAUGAAGUUAAUUUAUCUUUAAAACGAAAGUUAAAUGCAUUAGCAUUAUCGACUGUUAAGGAUAUAUGAAUAUGAUUAAACUAAUUAAUUGAGAAAUGAAAUAGAUAUUACUAGGUGGAUUCGAAUUUCAAUACAAUCAUCCAUAAAUUGAUAACAAUCACACUUUUACAGCUUUCUUAGAUUAAUUUAGCAUAAACUGAAUCAGACUGUAUUGUGUGUGACAUAUUUCGAAUGCCAUGUAUAACUAGUAAACCUGAAUUGAAUUUAUUUUAUGUGGGUCGAUAACUCUUAACUCAUCAAAUCUAUUUCUUGUCAAUGAUCAUGUACGCUUGCGAGAUUAUCGAACAAGUUUUUGGUUUCAUUGCCAAGGAAUAAAAUAUUUAAUCUGAGUUUAUUAGUCUAUAUAAUAUUCAUUUUUUUCUUUUAUUUUGUUUUAGGCUAUUAAUUAGAUAUCUAAUCUCUCUUACUUAUUUAUUUAUUUUUUUCUUUUUUACAAUUUAAGCAAGAUUCUAAAUAAAUGAGCUCAUAUAAGUGGAUCUCGAGAUUGAAAGAACUUUCGGACAAUGACAACAAAGAAAUGCGAGAAAAUUGUAGAAAAUCAAGAUCAAAAUCAAAACCAAAUUGAAUUACCAGCUGAAAAUCAAGAUCAAAUUCAAUUAGCACCAAAUUCGCCGGUAUAGCCAUUUCUUCCGAGAGCAUUGGCUAAUGAUACUGAAGUUUUAGUAUGGGAUUAUGUGAAUCCUAUCCCAGCUCUUAUACAACUGGCUAUUAUAUAUCAACUUUUUGGGCAAGCCAGCUUCUACAUUUGACUAGAUGUCAUCAACUUAUUUCAAAAUCAUUAGGACAUCAAGUUCUUUGGAAGAUCAACUAAAAAUUCUCAUGAACAUAUUUAAGCGUUCUUGAUGCUCUGCAAUAUGAUUAGUCACGAAUGCAUUUUUGUUGACGCUCUUCGAUUGUGCCUACUCCUUCAAACUUUAAAGGAAGGUGUACAAGAAUGGCUAAAUUCAUUAAUUCUUGGGAGUAUCAUUUUAUGGAACUACAUAAUGCAAAAAUUUACUUUGAAAUUCUUCCCGCCUUCUAGAGUUCAUCAAAUCGGAAAUGGAGUGUAUACUUUCAAGCAAAGAGAUAUUGAGAACUACCUAAAAGCAUCGAAAAGAAUUCAAAGAUUACUUUAGAAAGUGUCCUAAUCUAAGCAUUCCUAAAUACUCUAAGAUCUGUAUAUUCUAUUGAGGCACGAGAUAUAAAUUUUACAACACAGUUAAUUUUUCAGCAUGAGGGUCAAUCUUGGGUAUUUUCUUAGACAAUGCCUUGGUCCUCUUUUAGAGAAUCGUAGAAAAUCAGUCUAUGUGACCACCUAAAAGGAAAACUCUGAGAAAAAUAUUGAAGAUUGACAUUAUCAAUAUAGUGAUUGCAAAUGUAACGCCCCGAGCUCUAGGGACUCGUGACAUUACAAAACCUUAAAUUUGUAAACUUCUAUAUAAAUAGUUCAUAUAAUGUAGAAAUUUAAAUUGUAUUGAAAACAAUAAGGCUAUAGAGAACCUGUUACAAAAUUUAAGAAAUUUUCUUUUGGAAAGUUUAGAUUUUUGGCUUGUACGACUUUCUGAAAUAAAUCUCGUUCAAUGACUAAAUUAAAUCUAAAAUUUACAAAAUUUUAACUGUAGAUACACAGGAGAAUUACAUGUUAAAAUUUUUGUAUACAAAUUCAAUCGAUAGAUUGGUCAAAUUUUUUUCAAAACCGGAUCCAUUUGUUCUCGGGUUAACAAUCAUAACUUGAGUUUUACAGAUCAAAAUUCAUGAUUCUAAGUCCAAGAGAUAGAUAACUCAUAUGGCUAUCUUCUUGGAAUCACCUCAAAAUUCCAAGUAUUUAGGUUCGGGUGAAUUUUUAAACUUAGGCCAGAAACUGAAAAUAUUUAAAUCCUAGUGUAGUAACUCAAAUGAAUUAAAUAAACCACCAUAAAAAUAUUAUAUCAACCAUGAAACAAUUUCAUAAUCAAUUCAAUCUUCAAGCUCAAGAAAUACUAAUUUGAAUUAUUCCAAAUUUAAAUAAUUAUUCAAACGAAACAUGAAUCAAAUGAUGUCUUUUUGAGUUCACACAAGGCACCACCACUAUCCUACACGCUUCUAUUGAUCGCCUUAAUCUGCAAUUGUUAGGGGGUUAUGUGUUUCUUAGAAGCACUCAAUAGACUCAUACACAUGUAAAUAUAAACAUAUCAUACUUUAAGCACAUAUUCAUAUCAUUCAAACUUUAAUAAGUAGCACAUCAAUGAUCAGAUGACAUACCAACAUCUGGUGCACUACUACGCCAGCAAGUUCAUAUGUCUGAUCCACUACUAUGCUACCAGCUCAUAUUUAAACCCCAUAAGGACCCACAUAAACAUAUAAUCAUCUUUAUACAUGCUGAAAUAUAACAUGAAGUGGAACUUUUGAAACAAUAUCAAGGUUUGAGCACUGUGCCCUUUUACUUGGAUUUUAAUUUGUUGACCACUUGAUCUAUGUGUAUAAAUCUUUUUUGCUAUGUUAUCAAAGGAAAAGAGGUGGGAUAAUUAAAUAAUAUGAAGGUAGAACACGAGACUAGUUGUUGUGAUUGUAAAAAUCUUUUGCAUGAAUCCUUGUGGCAUUGGACUUCUAAGAAUUUAACGUUUUAUCCUUAAUAGAGAUUAAAAUAUCAAUAAAUAACUAUUAAUUUAAUUUCUUCAAUAACAAUUUUUUUAGGAUUAGGAUAAUUUAAAACUAACUCAGAUGAUUAUUGAUAAUCCAUAUAUAUCAGCGUGCACUGACCAAAAAUUCCAAAAUAAAGGAAUAGAAUUCUACCAAAAUUCAAUAAUCCUAGUUUCACUUUUAUUUGCUCUAACUUGGUUGUCCUUAUACAAAUUAAAUUCUUCUCAAGCCUAAUAUAAAUUAUUAAUUACGACCUAUCAAAUGAGUCCAAUAUUGCUGUAGAAAUUUUCACAACAUCAAUAAUUUAAUAAUCAAUCUCGCUAUAUUGAGCAUUAGCUAGAAAAUAAAAAUCUUAACUAAAUCAUGACUUAUGUGAAUACUAACUCCAUCAAAAUUAAUUGAGAAAAACCUAACUUAAACUUACUAUAAUUUAUCCCACAAUAUUUUCAAGGCAACAAGUAACUAACAAGGACUAGAAAAAGUUAGUGUGUUAAAUGCAGAGCCAGUUAAAGCAUAUAAAUUGGGAACAACAUGCAGUGACCCGAAUUUCUUUCUUAUAAGAAUUUUGAGAAAACUAUCAUUUAAAUAUAAAAAUUUUCGGUCACUACAGCAAAGGCAGCCCUACUAGAAAUAUUAACAAAGAAGUUGGACAAACUAACCCAAAAAGUGAGUAUAGUAUACCAACGCUAAUCUGUGGGGGCUGUAGGACAGAUCAUAGAUUUUGAAAAGUGUUAAUUAAUCUUGAGGUUAGAAGAAAAACAAUAAAUCUUUACACCGAAUGUUCUACUCAAGCAACCACAUGUUAUUGAAUAGUGCAAAAGGAUGGACCUUUGGGGAAGCAAUAAUAACAAGGAAGAAGGCAGAAUUGUAGGAAUGGACAAUAAUGGAAUUAUUGUAAUCCAGGCUUAAAGAUGACUUAAAAACUCUCUUCUCAAGCUACCAUAUUUACCAAAAACCAAAGUCAUGCUAAAGACUUAAACAAGCACUUAUUGGGAGGCAACAUAAUUUUCUUUCCUUUUGUUUAUUUUGCUUUCUAGACUGUAGGAUUCGUAGACUUUAUUCUUUUUUCUAGUAUAGGGUAUUUCAUUCCCAUAUUUUCCUUUAGGGUGGGAAUAAGCUUACUAUAAAUUUUUCCAUGUUAUGAUUGAUUUUUACUAUUUUGAAGGAGCGUGACAUGUGAACAUAUUGGACAAAAAAAUACAUAGCAAGUAAUCCAACACUUUCAUGCCAGUCCAUCCACUACUUGCAGAUUUGAACCAGGAUAAUAUUUAGCUCUAUUCUUUACACUUAAUUUUUAUAUAUGGUUUAUUAUAUCUUUAGACUUCGAGGAAAAUGCCUUUCAUAAGUUUGGGGGUGGAAAAAGAUCGAGUUUUAUCUAUUCUACAAUUUUGUUUGCUUAUUCGUGAAAAAAUAUAUAUAUUUUUUUUAUUUUCCGCCUUAUUUUUUCUUUUAUGUGAUUGUAUGGGUUAGAUGAUUUUGUUUACUAUGAUGGAUAUAUUUGGAACUAAGUGUUAUAUGAUAAAUUAUAGAAAAGUUGCAUGUUUCGUCAAUUUUUGCUUAUUCAUGUGAAACUUUAUAAUUUUGAGCCUAAGAUUUAUGUUUUGCAUCAUGAAGAUUAGUCUGAUUCAAAAUUUGAGUCGAUUGAAAUUAGUGGACCAUAGAUGCUAAAUCUAAAUAGCCACUAAAUUAUACAUCUUUAAACCAAUUCUAGAAUAGUUUGUAAAUUUUGAUUUGUUGUAAGGAGACAUUAAGAUAAAUGUGAAUUUCAUGAGUGCUAAAUUUUGUGCAAAUUGUCUAAUGCCAAUAAAAUGAAAAUUAGAUACUAGGUCUCAAUUUUUUGGAAUAAAUGCUAAAUGCAUUGCACUAAUUGUAUGAAAAAAGAAUAGUAAAUUUCUUAUUGUGAAAUGUUUCUUCAUAGCCUUUAUGACUCGAGUUAUUAGGUUUGCAAGUGUAUCUAAAACUUGGUGUCCUAUAGUCAUUUGACUUGGAAGCCAUCGGUCAAAUGCCCAUUACGUGAGUUAUUUAGAAAUUUUAAUAGAGGGAAGUCCACACAUAAGAUGUGAAAAAGUAAAGAGUGUCCUUUGACAAGGAAUUAUUAUCUUAGUUGAUUUAUUUGAAGUUGAAGCAGUAAAAAAUAAAGAGUGUCCUCAUUUGUUGAAGUGUUGAGCAACAAUUAGUUAGAUCUAAUCAUAUUAGAGAGGGGUGAGUGCUAGUAUAAAAAAAUUCUACCUUAAUCAAACAUUGUGAAUAGAAUAAAAAAAGAAUAAGUAUGGGGUGUGAAUCUUAAGAGAGAAGAAAUGAAAUAUUUGACAAUUAAGGGUUGGAACUUGAAUCACUUUAUGAAUUUAUGAUGCUUGAUAUAAAUUUUCAUUCACGAACACACAUCACUUUUACAUUGAAUACGUAGAAAUAAAUUUUAAUGAUGUGAUGUUGAAGCAGCUUAUAGUUUUGAUGUAUGAAUUCCAAUCCUUAGACCAAAUACAAAUUAUCUAACCAUGUAUAUUAAGAAAAAGUUAUUUAACUCAAAAUUUAUUUUGUUUGAGAACAAACAAACGUUCUAGUUUGGGGUGUUCAACAAGUGUAUUUUGUACACUUAUUUUGGAUAUUAAAUGAGAUAAAUUGUAAUUAAUUUUGAUGACUUAUGGAUUAAUUAGAUAUUAAUUUUGUUUGCUAGGUAAAACUUGAGGCAAAUUGGUGGAAUUAAAAAAAAAUUGAACCAAAAAUGGGCAAAGCGAUAGAAAUCUGAAGUUUUGGGACCAAAAUGUAAACAUAUAAUACUCAAUUCGGACCAUAAAAUGAUUAUUAAAGAUCACAUAUGAUCAAUUGGAUGUAACUAGAAGUCAAAAGUGUGAAAUAGAGUCAAAUAUUUUCACAAUUCAAUUUUCAGCCAAAAAAGUUAUGCUUUAGUUUUUCAACCUUAGAUUGAGACCCAUUUUCAAGUAGCAAAAGUUCGAACUGAAAUACUUUUUGACUUCCAAAAGAAUUGUAGUUCUUUGAGUUAUCUUUCAAAUGUAUUUUGAAUCUCAAUUCGAGAACGGGUGGAAAAGUUAUGAUCAAAAUACCAAAAGCUGCAUAAGGACGAAUAGAUGUGAACCAAUGCGCACAGGUUAUUCUGGCAUGCACGCACAACUUUAUGUAUUAUUUACCAAGAACAAAACUACUCCACCAUGCAUGCUCAAUGAAUUUUAUGGCACUCAAGCCAAAUUCUCUACUGAUGGCCCAAUUUCCUUUUUUGAUUCAAACUCUUGUCGGUAACAACUUCGGGACAAUUUCUUAACUCAAAGUCAAUCCUUAUAAAUAGAUAACAGGGAAAAUAGAAAAGAAAACUCUCUAUUGUGUCUUUAUGUAGAAUAAAUCAUCGAAAACCCUAGCAAGGAAUUCAAGACCAAUUAUAUCUACAAAUUGAAGAUUUAAACCUUGAACUUGAAGAUCAAUUGCUUGGGGAUUAUUUCAUGAUUCGGGUGAUAUUUUUCCAUAAUUCCUGUUGUAAUUUAUAUACUAAUAUGUUAGGCUAGAUCCACUUUUGUAUUGGAUGAAGUAAACCCUAUAUAGUUCCAAUACUUUCAAAAAUACUCUCUUCUGCCUUGAAAUGUGAGUCAUAAAUUUCAUUGGACGUUUAUGAAGAAAGCAUUUCUUUCCAUAUCGACACUCAAGCCCAUUGUAAAAAACAAAUUGAAAAUUUUUAUCCUAUGUAUCAUUCUUUGGUUAUCGCUAAAAUUCCUGAUGCCUCUCUUCCUUCCUCGAACAAGUUCUUGCCAAUUUGGAGGGGAUUCCAUAAAUCUUCAACACUAUGAGCACAUGUGCAAUGCUCUCCAUUCUUGCAGGUACCUUUGGUGAAUAAUGCAUGAAAAGCUCUGAUACCAUUUGAAAAGCUUCAAUUACCAAUUGAGUUUGACCUUAUGUGCGGAAUUAUACAAUAAAAAGCAAUAAGUCACUUUAAUUGUUUUUAAAUGCUAUAUCAGAUAGUUCAAUUUAUCCUACAAUUUGAAUGCCACAAACAAUAAAUCUAAAAGCAAUAAAGAACACCAAUAUUGUUGACGGAGAAACCCAAUUAGGUACAAACUCCAAGACCAAAGCAGUAACCUCUACUCUAGACAAUGUCAACUUACAUUAGGAUCAAGCCUAGCAAAUUCUACUAGAUUUGUUAAUCUAAUUCCAACAAUCUCCAAGACCUAAUGAAACGUGUUUAACUCAUACUUGCUUCUGAUCUUCUAGAAUUUUCUAUCUCCUAUAGAUCAUCGAGAACAGCCAGUUUUUGUACUCUUCCUAUGCUUGUAGUCCAACCUUCCCUUAAUCUUUAGCAAUCUCUAAAAGCUAUUGAGAAAGUACCUUCCUUGAUGUGUUACGGAAGUAGGUGUUUUGGAUUAUGAAAUUUUGAUAUUUUCCCAACAAGUGGCUAUAUGAUCUCAAGAAUCAAAGGAUAGAAAUCAGUGUAUGGAUGGAUCUUCAAAUAAUUAAAUGGAGAAGUAUUAUAAUGAACAACUACCCAUAAUUUCGUAUAAUGCAUUAGGUAUUUAUAGUGGAAGACAAUUAGGUAGUAUGGUUCGUGUAAAACUCUUGAAAAAAGUGAAAUAGGAUUUUCCAUGUAACAUUGUCACUCGAGCGAUAGGGUAGUGAGAGGCAAGCAACAGGUCUUCGUUCAAGGGUGAGCCGAGUAACAAGUGAGUGAGAGUGGUUCCCUUUUUUUUUCUUUUUUUUUUUUUUUUUUUUUUUUUUUUUUGCUUGAGCAAUCGUUAGGUGAUAGACUAGCAAAAACCCAACGACUUUUCUUUCCUUAUUCCAACCUCAAAGCCUAGGUAACCUACUUCAACUGUACAAUAUUUUUACGAACUCCUUGACUUUUACAACUCUUUAACUUAAAUCCUUUUUGUUUAAAGAUGACAUUAUAUGACAAAACUAUACAAUACAAGUCAAAAAAGUAAAAACAAAACUAUUCUUCUCAAGCUCAAACUGAAUGUAUGUUUUCUGCAUUCCUUGUUAAACUUGUUUCCUUAGAUCAACGGCUCAAAUACCAAAUGUCAAAGCACAUGAUAUAGAAAAUAUAACAAUUGAAACACACAAUCAUAAAUAUGCUAGCUUGAUUGAGAUGUAAUAUUAACGUUAAUCAAAAUACCAACUAAAACAUUAAUACCACAAAACACAAAAACUCAAACAGCUAUGCUUUAUGAUAUGGAAUGUAAUAAACAUAAUCAAUCUCCCCAUUACCGCAAACUCUCAUCUAAUAAUUCAUAUCUCUCCCCCUAAAAUACGUAUUUCUUUCCUCCUAAAAUGCAGCUCGCCUUCCCCCUUUUAUCACAGAUGGGGAAGGGAACAAUACCAAAAAUAAUUUGAUCAUCAAUAUACAAUAAUUUAAAGAUACCAUUGAUAGCAUGCACAAGGAUGAUGAAUAAUUAGUAAACUUUUCCACAUACUAAGUUCAUGCUAAUAUGGAGUAAAUAGUAUAAGUGACUUAUGUGUGUAAAGUCUCACAAUCCUUCAUAAGCAAGACUCCGAAGAAGAGCAUAAGACAUUGAGCCUUUUUUUUCAAGGGAAUAUAUUUGAGCUUUGGUCUACUAAAAUAAGGUCAAUUCAUGCUCAAAGUCAUCUUACCAACAUGUGACUGUCAUUCUAAAUCUCACACAUGCAAUUAAGUUUGACUAACAAUAUCAUAGAGUGUACAGUGCAAAUGGUACGUAAAGAAACCUAUACUAAGAACUCCAUAAAAACCUAAACAAAGUAAUGAAAAAUAUACUACAACACAUUAAUUAAACUCAUACUUUGUCAUUAUAUGCAUCUUCAAGUUCAUCAUAUAUAUAAUGCUAUAGUUAAAAUAAAUUUCCCUUUCCUUUUUUUAUUUUAAAACAUGAAUGAACUAAUCACACAUGAUAAGAAAAUCUAACACAUAAACCAAAAAAAAAUAUAUGUAUAUGCAUGUGCCAAUGCAAAUUUGAUGAAUAUGCACAUGCAUGAAACUACCACCUAGAAAGCGAACAAAAAUAAAUAAGAUGCAUGCAAUCAUGAAUGGAUAAUAAUGAAUAAUACAAGCAUGUACUAGAAAUACCUAAUCAGUUCGGUACAUAAGUGUUCAUACCCUUAAGAGCACCAUGAUCUAUUUCAAGAUUUUUUAUAUCACUCAUCUUUAUCCAAACUUGUCUAGUGAGAGGAAUAUUCCUAGUCAUCUGUGUUAUUAACUUAGUAGGCUGACUCACCUGAUUAGUAAGAAAGUCAAUCUGACUAACAAAAUCCUGAUUUUUAUAUUUAUUAAAAUUCUUGUUUCUAUUUCUGUUCAUAGGUUUAUGACACCUAGGCCUUACAUGUUCUAACUCACCACAAUGAUAACACGUAGGGAUAAACCUAGGACCAAAGUUAUGAGAUCACUAAUAUAUAUCCCUAGGUUGACAAGUCGUAUACUAUAUAGUACGCCUCUAUCCUACGAAUCACUUUUUCUUGGGUUUAGGAUUAGGAACAUAAUUAGGCUUGUUAGUGUUAGGGAUGAAGACGUUCUUGGAAGUACUAGCAGCAUGUGAUCAUUACCAAUAGGCUUGUUCAUUCCUAAGUUGUUAUCAAGUUUCAAUAAACCACUAGAGAAGGCGAGAAAUUGAGACUUGGAAUAUUCAUGUUCGUUCAGAAGUUUCUUAACCUGGAUUUCUGAUUUUUCAUUCUCAAUGACCAGCUCACUAACUUUCUAAAGAUUCAUUUAUAGAUUUCAACUUAUUCAGUGAUGAUGUAGUUUCUGAAAGUUAGCUAUAAGUUUCUUCUUUCCAGCUCAAGUUCUUUAACUUUCGUACCUAGGGCAUUAUUCGUAGUUAGAAUCCUACAACUCUCCUUUCAUAUUUUUUUCGUAAGCCUCAUGAAUAUCUUCCUUACAGUCAGAAUCUUUCUCUGAUUUCUCGCCACUAUCUACGUCCUCAGCCUUCUUACUCACCUUAUCAGAUCCAAUCCUAAUCCUGGUAGUAAAGGCAAUGUGUUUUCUAUUCUCGUCAUGGGUGCAUCUCUCACUAUGAUUAUCCGAGCUAGACUCGACAUCAGUGAAAAAAGCAUUCAUAGCUUUAAUUUGAUUUCUCUUACUAUUAGGACAUUCACUCCUAUAAUGGUGAAAGCCUAGACACUUAUGACAUCUUACUAAUUGAGAUCUCUUUCUAGACACAUUGGAGGCAUCUCUAUGUCUCUCUUGAGUCUUCUUUUUAUUUCUAAAUAUUUUUUGAAUUUCUGAGCAAAAUAAGCUAAACUCCUCCUUAUUCUGUGACUCUAAAUCAGAAGACUCAAUAUAGUUAUUCCUCACAAUGUUCAAGGCAACGGACUUAUCUUUUGUAGGUUUAGCUAGUAUCAGUUCAUAAGUCUUAAGAGAUCCAACCAACUCUUCUACCUCAAUAAACUCUAUGUCCUAACCCUCUUCUAUUCUCAUGAUUUUACGCCUAAAUUGCCCAGGUAAGGAUCUAAGGAUUUUUCUAAUAAUCUUAGGCUCAAGGGUUCUCCCACCUAGGUUGAAACUGGAAUUAACUAAAUCAUUUAGGCUCGUAUAGAAAUUAUCAAAUGUCUCAUCCAUUUUCAUACUAAUCUCUUCAAACCUAGUGGUCAGCAUCUACAACUUAGAACUCUUAACAGCAUGAGUUCCCUCAUUUACGGUCUAUAAAAUAUCUCGAACUUCUUUAGCUACCUCACCCACCAACAUAUGUCUAAACUCUUCAGGGGACACUGCCAUAGAUAUAGCAUGUAAGGCUUUACUAUUCCAAUUGCAUUCAUCUAAGUUUGGUUUAGUCCAAUUAGCCAUGGAGUGGGGAUCACUACAUUAUCAACCAUUACACUAAGGACAGCCCAACCACUAUUCAUGCUCAACUAGAUGUGCUUAUCUAUAGAUUUUAAGAAUUCCAUCAUUCUAACCCUCCAAUAAGCAUAAUUGCUACCAUCAAGAUGUAGUGGAACAGAUAAUGAACUAUUCGUCUAGACAAUUAAGGUUAGGACACAAACUUAGGCUCUAAUACCACUUGAAAAGCUUUGAAACCACUUGAAAAGAUCUGAUUAUCAAUUAUGUUUGGCCUUACAUAUGAAAUUACAUAAUUAAAAGUAACAUGUUACUUUUUAAUUCUUUGUAUAUGGUUAGUCAAACAGUUCAAUUUAUUCUUUGAUUUAAAUGCCAUAAACAAUAAAUCUAAAAGCAAUAAAGAACACCAAUAUUGUUGAGGGAGAAACCCAGCUAGGUAAUAUCUUUGGGACCAAACCAGUAACCUUCACUACAGAAAAUGUGAACUUAUAGUAGAUCCACCCUAACAAAUUCCACUAGACUCACUGAUCUAAUUCCUCCAAUUUCUAAGACCAUCUGGAUUGUACUUCACUCACACUUGCUCCGCGAUCAUCUAAAAUUGUCUAUCUUACGUGGCUUACCAAGAACAAUCAGUUCUUGUAUUUUUCCUAUGCUUGUAGUCCAACCUUCCUCAAUCUUCAGCAAUAUCUAAAAGCUAUUGAGAAAGUACCUUCCUUAAUGUGUUAUGAAAGUGGGUGUUUUGGAUUAUGAACUUUGAUGUUUUUCCCAACAAGUGGUUGUAUAGUUUCAAGAAUCAAAGGAUAGAAAUCAAUGUAUGGAUGUGUUUUUGGAUCUUCAAAUAAUGAUAUGGAGAAGUAUUAUAAUGAACAACCACCCACAAUUUCAUGUAAUGCAUUGGGUAUUUAUAGUGGAAGACAAUUCGAUAAUAUGGGCCGUGUAAAACUCUUGAAAAAUAUGAAGUAGGAUUUUUCAAGUAGCAUUGUUGCUCAAACAAUAGGGUAGCAAGAGGCGAGUGAAAGGUCUUUUCUCGAGCGAGAGUCAGGCUACAGAUGUGUAACGAUGAUUCUAUUUUUUCUGCGAGGAAUGGAUAGGCGAUAGACUAGCGAAAAUUUGAUGACUCUUCUUUACUUAUUUCAAACUCGAACCCUAGGUUACCUACUUCAACUAUAGAAUAUUUCUACCAACUCCUUAGCUUUUACAACUCUUUAAUUUAAGUCCUUUUGUCUAAAGAAUUAUCAAUAUAUAAAAUCCUAACAAUGCACAAAUACGAUUCUUGUAAAAUAUAUGGUUCAUCCCUUUAGUCUCUGCGGAUUUUCUUGUAUCAUUGUGGGAUAUCAUUUGUGCAAAUGGUGUAGAAUUGGAUUGGUUGUUUUCAAAAUUCUUUGGUCUCUUGAAGAUACGGGUGCUCAAAUUGAGACACUACAUCAUUCAUAGGAGGCGUAAGCCAAAAUCUAUCGACAUCUCUACCAGAGAAAGGUAGAGAAAGAAAUGGAUGAAGUGGUGGUUGUUGUGCACGAUCAAAAAAAACUCAUCGUGUUUUGGUAUUGAAAGGAAUUUUCUGAUCCUUCGCACCAAGAACUAUACUAACAUUAAAUUCAUUGUAAAAAAGAAAACCUGAUACCAACCAAAAAAGAUCAUAAGAAAUAAAAAAGCAAAAUGACAACCAUUGAAAUUGGAAGUGAUCUCAAUACAAGUGAUCAUAUAUUGUUGAUAGUAAUAAACAACAGCCACAUAAAAAAAUGAGACCAAAAAAACACAGAGAAAUAAAGCACCAAAAAAUCGAGAAUUGGAAAUUUUGAAUAGAAAGAUACGCCACUUCUAAACUACAAAAUCAAUAAUAAUGUACUGGUGUUAAGUCAUGAGCUAAGGGAUUCAAAUUCCCUCUAAAUAUAUAUCUAAAUGAUAGGAAACUCAUAUUUUAUAUAGACCAGUUUUUAUUUUUUCUUUUUUAUUAGAAUUAUGCCCUAUAGUCUCUUGAUCUUACUUAAUUCUUAAAUAUCAGCUAGAUCUUUCUAUCAGAAUCAACCAAGCUCAGAAAUUUGGAAAGAUGCCUAAAGACUCCGUAGCUUUUAUGUUCCCUUUUUUUAUUUCCAAAGUGUAAUUUUGUAGUAAACUUCAAUUAAAUUUAUUCACAGUGGGAAGAUAACUCUUAAGAUUUCAAAUCUGUUACUUGUCAAUGAUCCCUUACACAUGUUGAAUUUUACUGAACAAGUUUUUAACAGCAUUGUUGAGGAAUAAAAUAUUUAAUUUGAAGUUUGUUAGUUUAUAUAGUAUUUGAUUUUUUUUUAAAUUUUGUUUUAGGCAAUUAAUUAUACAUCUAACAUCUCUUGUUUAUUUUUUUGAUAGUUUCUGCAAAAUUCUGAAGAGAUGAAGCUCAUCUAAUUGGAUCUCGAGAUUGAAGGAACCUUUAGACAAUGAAGAAGAGUAAAGAGAGAAGUGAGAAAAAUGACAGAAAAUCAAGAUCAAAAUCAAAACCGAAUUCAAUUACCACCAAAUUCGCCAGUACAGCCAUUUUCACCAAGAGCAAUGGCCAAUGAUAGCAAAGUUUUAGUAAGGGAUUAUGUGAAUUCCAUCCCAACUCCUAUGCAGUUGGCUAUUAUACAUCCACUUUUUGGGCAGGCUAACUUCUACAUUCGACUAGAUGCCAUCAACAUGUUUUAAAAUCAUCAAGACAUUAGGUUCUAUGGAAGAUCAACUAAAAGUUCUCAUGAACUUAUUCAGGCCUUCUCAACGCUUUGAGAUAUGAUUAGUGAAGAAGACAUGUUUGUUGAUGCUUUUUGAUUACGCCUAAUCUUGCGAGUAUCGUUUUAUGAAAUGACAUGAUGCAAAAAUUCACUUUGAAAUUCUUCCUGCCUUCUAGAAUCCAUCAGAUCAGAAAUGAAGUUCAUACUUUCUAGCAAAGAGGCUUGAGAAUUGCCUAGAAGAAUGGAAAAUAUUUAAAGAUUACUUCAAAAAGUGUCCUAAUCUGAGCAUUCCUAAAGACUUUAAGAUCUGAAUAUUUUAUUCAGGCAUGAGACUGAAUUAUGCAACAUAGCUAAUGCAUUAGCAGGAGGGGGUCAAUCUUAGAUAUGUCCUGGGACAAUGACUUAGUCCUUUUUUUAGAGAAUUGCAGAAAAUCAGUUUAUGUGGCCACCCAAAAGGAAAACUCUAAGAAAAUAGUGGAGAUUCACAAUAUUGAUGUAGUGACAAUAAUGGAAGCCAAGCUAGAAAUACUAAUAUAGAAAUUGGACAAACUAACUCAAAAUGUGAGCGUAGUAUACCAACCAGCACCAAUCUUUUGGGACUGUAGGGUAGAUCAUAUAACUAUAAGCUGUCCUUUAGUUAUCAGCCAGAUGAGGUCAUUUAUGUAUUGAACAUUCUGAGAUAACAGAACAAUUUUUAACCCAACGCAUAUAAUUCAGGUUGGAGCUAACAUUUGAACUUCUCAUGGCCUCAUAAUUAGGAAUAUCAGAUUCAGGACAACCCACAAGGAUUUAAGCCACAUUAGAAGAAAAAUCCACUGUUGGAAGAUUUAUUGAUGUGCUACAUCACUAAGAGUAAGACUGCACUCCAAAAUCAGUAGGUUGCGAUAACAAAUCUGGAGACUCGAAUGGGGUAGCUAGCAGCUAUAUCAUCCAAUAGAGGAACAAGUUAAGGCCAUCACAACAAGAAGUGGAGUUUAGUUUCUAGAAAUUACUGUGAAGAAGAAAGGAAUCAAGAAGAAGCCAGACAAUCAUAGGUUAAAGUAACCAUUCCUAUCAAUAAACACACACCUUCAGACCUAUUCUCUCAAAGGUUGGAGAAUAAUAACUUGAAGAAACAAUUUAAGAAGUUCUUGGAUGCCUUAGACAACCUCACAUCAACAUACCUUUCAUCGAUGCCAUUCUACAAAUUUCAAAUCACACGAAGUUUUGGAAAAAAAUGUUGACUAAAAAGAAAAAGUUGCUAGUGGAUGAAAAAGUAGCUUUGAUAGAAGAAUUAUGUACAAUCAUACAACAUAAGGUCCCUCCAAAACUAAAAAAUCCAGGGCAUUUCAUAGUAUCCUCUUUAGGAAAUUUACAUUAUCUAAAUGCUUUAAUUGAUUCUAAAGCAAAUAUUAAUCUGAAGCCACGGUUUAGCUAUAGAAAAUUCAAAAUUAGGAUUGGAUGAUCCAAAAAAAGCAUCAAUAAUCCUAUAGUUGCGACAUGACACUCAAGUAUCCUUAUGGAGUGGUAAAUGAUAUGCACAUCGAAGUUGGAGAUAACUUAUUUCUAGUUGAUUUCAUUAUCCUUGAUAUGGAUGCUCAAUACAUGCCGUUAAUAUCAGGAAGACCAUUUUUAGCAACUAAACGAGCAUUAAUGGAUUUUGAAAAAAGUUAAUUAAUCUUGAGGAUGAAAGAAAAGCAACAAAUCUUCACAAUGAAUACUCAACUCAAGCAACUACAUGACAUUAAUGAGUGCAAAAGGAUAGACUAUUAAAGAAGAAGCAAGAAAAGGAGGAAGAAGGUGGAGUUGUUGAAUGAGACAAUAAUGAAAAUCUCGUAAUCUAGAAGCAAUAGAUGUGAAAGGAACAACUGCCAACGCAGCUGGUACAAGCCUAAAAACUAUAUUCUUAAGCCAUCAUAAAUAGUCGGAACAUCAGAUUCAAGUUAAACACUUUCAUUCCCAUAUUUUUCUUUACAGUGUGUAUGAGCUUACUAUAAAUUGUUCCAUGUUAUGAUUGAUUUUUACUACUAUAAAAGGGCAUGAUACCUGAACACAUUAAAUAAGGGAAAAUACAUAGUAAGUGAUCCAAUACUUUCAUGCCAGUUCAUUCACCACCUAUAGAUUUAUACCAGAGGAAUACUUAGUUCCCUUCUUUAUCCUUAAUUUUUAUAUAUUGCUUGUUAUAUUUUUGGACAUCAAGAAAAAUGUUUGUUAUAAGUUUGGGGCUGAAAUACAUUGAGUCUUAUCUAUUUUUACUAUUUUAUAUGUUUGCUCGCGUGUAAAAAAAACUUCAUAAAUUUGAAAAAUUAUUUUGUUUUCAGCUUUAUUUUUUCUUUUAUGUGCUUGUGUGGAUUUUAUGAUUUUUUCUACUAUGAUGGAUAUAUUUGAAACUAUGUGUUAUAUGAUAAAUUGUAGAAAAGUUUUAUGUUAAGUUGAUUUUUGCUUAUUCAUGUGAAAAUUGAUAAUUUUGAGCACAAAAUUUAUGUUUUGGAUCAUUUAGGAUUAGUUUGAUUUAAAAUUUAAAUAAGUUGAAAUUAGUGGACCAUUGAUGCUUUACCAUGAACUCAAAUGAAUUCAUGGUAGUCCUUUAUGUUCUAUUUUCAACGCACGUUGAAUUAGCUCAAUCUGAUAUCGGGUGAAAACAUUACGAUCAAAAUAUCAAAGGCUAUUUAGGAAUGAACAUAUGCAAACCGCUACAUGCACAAAACCUUAUGUAUUAUUUAUCAAGAAUAAAACUACUCUACCACACACGCUCAGUGAAUCCUUUGGUGCUCCAGCUAAACUCUCUACAGACAUACCACUUUUCUUUUUUGAUUCAAACUCUUAUUGUUAUCAACUUCAGAAAGGUUUCUUGACUUAAAUUCAAUUCUUGUAAACAGAAAAGCAGGAAAACACGAGAAAACUCUCUCUUCCAUCUUCACACACAAUAAUAUCAUCAAAUUCAUAAAGAACAUCAUGUCAAUUCAUCACUUUUGAAAGAGAAGAUCAUACAUCUACAAAUUAAAUAUUUCAACCUUGGACUUGAAGAUCAAUUCCUUUGGUAUUAUUUCAUGAUCCAAGCGAUACUUUUCCGUAAUUCUUUUUUAUGACAGCCUAGAUUUGCUUUUGUAUUGGAUGAAGAUGAGCCAUAUUGUUAUUUAUUUUAAUUCAAAAUUAUUAGUUUAGUAUUUUUUUUUGUAUUUCUUGAUUAAUUUUGCAUACCUGUUGCUCUAUUAAAAUGCUUGACCACUAAUUAGAUAAUUAGAUGCUUUUUAUAGUGUUGAGAGACUCAUAAUAAAUUUGAAAUGCUACAAAAUUAACUUAUAUGCAAUAGAUGUUAGGAAUGAUAUCUAUUACGUAUGCAAUCAUAUUGAUAAUCUCAAAUUUAAUGCAUUCUAAUUAUUCAAAUUUAGGUUUGAAAUAGACUCGGAUCGUGACUAGAAUAGAGUUAAUUUAUCUUGAAAAGAAAGUUGAAUACAUUAAAUUUAUCAAUUGUCAAGAGUGCAUGAAUAAGAUUAAACUACAUAAUUGAGAAUUGAAAUAGUUAGCAACAAGUGGAUUCGAAUUCCAAUACAGUCAUCCAUAAAUUGUUGAAAACAACACUUUUACAGCUUUCUUAGAUUAAUUUAGUACAGAUCAAAUCAAACUCUCUUUUGUGUUACAUAUUUCGAAUCCAAUACAUAACUAGUAAAAUUAAAUUGAAUUUAUUUCCUGUGGGACAAUAACUCUUAACUAAUCAAGUCUAUUACUUGUUAACUAUCCCGUACAUUUGCAAAAUUUUACCGAACACAAAGUAGAAUUAACAAACCAGAAUCUAAAUUGAAUUAUUGUGAUUUCUGAUUAUAUUAGAGAAUUCUAACAUCAGAACUCAUGCUGAACAAUGAAAAUCACUCCUUCAGGAAGCAACUAAAAAAGCUGAAUGAAAUUGGCAAUGAGUGUUUAAAGUUAGCCUCUCUCUCUCUCUCUAAAGAGCUUAAAAUCUAUGCCAAAUAUUACAUAGAUUAAGCAAAUUUCAAAUGGAAAUCAAGGUCGAGUCCAAAAGGAAAACCCUAGAAAUGGCUAAAUCCAAACAAUGCCUUAGACCUCUUAAUGAUGAAAUAAAUAUGAGAUUAUCUUCAAAAUGGUGGUUGUAAUUUGUGGUACAAGUAAAUUUGAAUUCAGAUUUUACAAAACCAAGAGGACAUUCAAAAUUGUACUCUUACAUAUCGACAUUUGGCAUGCAGUGUUGUGGUCUCUUCAUUAUCUUUGACAAUGAACUGGUCAAGGGAUCGUCUUUAAAAAAAUCUCGUACUUCAGUAUCAGAUUCAAGUAAAAGAAACAAAGAAGUUUCACAGUACCACUACUUAAAAUUAUACUUGGUUUCAUAUAAGUGAAUCGACUAUGAUUAUUUUCACUGCUUAAGAACAGUACCUAUGAUUUGAAGCUUCUCUAUAAGAGCAGAUUUACGAAAAGAAGAACAGUAAUAUCUUAUAUGGCAAUGUUGAUUUUUGAACAUACUCGACUUCUAAUAUUAAUUAUCCGAUUCCUCUUGCAAAGAAUUUCGGACAAAUGCUCAUUGCUGAGGUGUCAAUUUUCUAACACGUGUUCGACAUGUAAUUUAAAAAGAGUACCAACACAAUACGUCGUUAUUAUGUUAUUUAAAAAAUAUUUACUUUGUUUUAGUCUAAUAUUAUUUAUGUUUUUCUGUUAUUAUUAAAUUCAUAAUCAAAUAGAAGGUACAGAGAUAUUUUUAAUUUCGAAAUAAUCUUUGUUAUUCAAAUGUAAGCCUGUCAAUAUUGUUUAAAGAAAUUUAAUGUAGUGGGUCCCUUUUUUUCUUUUAAGAAUUGAGAAACAUGCAAUUAUGAGUAAUUUUCCCUCCCCAAUUGAGUCGAUUAACAGAGUGAAAAAUGCUUAGUUGGUAACAAUGGUUGGGCUUUUAGAACUUUUAUACAAAAGACAUUGUUCUUAUUAGGUUGUUGCAUUUUUUCGCCACUUGAAGCAAAACUUCAUGUCAGUGGCAAUGACGCUGAAAGUGUAAAAAUGGAGUUCAAAGAUUAUGCUACUUGCUUUACCUCUAUUUUCGUUUUUCUUCUUGGUUAUUUUUUAUUUUUUGGGCAGGUCAAACAUUACACCACGCCGUGCUACUGCGAGUCAACACCUGUUUGGUGACUGAAAAACAAAAAAGAAGAUGGAACUUGAAAUUUUCUGUGUCAGAGUUGUGUGGAAGAUUGACUCACCGAUGUCAACUUCGUGUCUGUGCAUCAUAGGUGUUUACAUUCAUUAUACGUGGGCAAAUGAAAAAGUGUUUCAGAGCCUCAAUCGUUGUGAUGGAUUCAAUUAAACAGCACCACCAUAUAUUAUUAUGGGAUACUAAAGAAUAAAAAACUAGAUUGAAGGCCAAUGGGUAGAAAUUAAAGUUCUACAAUAUGUACUUAAUCUAAUUAAACACAUAGAUGCUUAGUACGUAUCCAUGUCCUUAUAAGGAGGCAAAAGUACAUAUCCAUUUAGAAAUUUAUAAACUGUAUCAUGAUGAUUUAAAGAAGACAGCAAGAGCCUUUAAAACUUAGAAACACAACCAUAGAAAGCUGAAUAAUGUAUUUGAACCUUCUACAGAAAAUAAUUCAAUCAAAGUUACUCUGAAUGAUUCAAAUCAUUGAAGGAGUGUAUUUGGUACCUGGAGUUGAAAUUAGAAAUUACCAACGAGCAAUAUAAAGCGAAACAGUUUAGUCAACAGUUAAUAAUCAUUAAUCUUCAACAAUUCUGGGAGUAAUUGUCAUAUCUCCUCAUUGCUAGGGGAGUAGUUAGAAGGCAAGAAAUCAUCUAACCAAUCAGCAUAAAUUCCCUAAACCUGCCUGCCGAGCUUCCAUGUCUUUCUUUCUGCAUCUUCAUUUGCUGGAGCAACAAUAACAGCAGUUGCCUGAGAUGAACCAAUUACAGGCACCAGGAAAGGCUCUUCUGGAAUUUUGCUGCCUGAAUUCAUUACUGGCUCCGUCUUAACUCGAGCACGAUGUAACUGGAAAUCUGCAAAAAAGAAAGCAUAUGUGUUGGAAGUUUUACAUGAAUGUAAAGUAUUUUCAAUAGGAAACAAACAGGCUACUAAUUGAAAUUAACGUUCAAGUAGGAAAUGUUUUAUUGAAAUUGAUUAUAAGAAGGGCUUCGAAUUAGACAAAAAAAAAAUAUUAGGAUUUUGAUAAGAUAUUUUUUAUGGUAUUCUUUUUCUUUCAUUUUUAUUCAAUUGUUACAGUAUAACUACAUAUACAUGUCAUUUUAAAACAAAUAUCAUUAUUCGUACUGAUAUUUUGAAUGAGUUAUCUGGACUUCCAAAAUUUGUCGUUAGCGAAAAAGCACAAAAUGUGUUAUCUGUUACCAUUUAAUGAGAACCUUCUUUUUCUUGUUAAUGUCAUGAAAGGGUCUUCCUAAACAAGGUAAAUCAGCAAGAUCAGUUCAAAGGAAACAUUAAUUGUAUUGAACUAAACCCAAAAAGAAAGCUUUAAAUUGUAAUACGAGAGACUAAAUAUACCUGACUGGUCAUGAGCAAAAUGACAUGUUUUUCCAGAAGGGCAUUGGCCGAUCUCCCAUUUGCAACCUAGUUUCGUUUUCCGAAAUGGUGUCUUUGCUUGGAAAGUAUCGGAACUGCUGCUAAGAUUCUUACCAUAAUCAGGCUGAGCAUAAUCACUUUUAUUUAUCAAAUCAGGCCUCGUAGUUCCAAUACUUACAACAACACUCUCUCUCUUUUGCUUUGAAAUGUCAGUCAAAAAUUUCAUUGGACUUUCAUGAAGAAAUUUGUAUUUCUCUCCAUAUCGACACUCAAACCCAUUGUAAAACAAAUAGCAAAUUUUCGUCCUGUGUGUCAUUCUUUGAUCAUCGCUAAAAUUUUCAGUGCCUCUCUUCUUUCCUCGAACAAGUUCUUGCCAAUUUGGAGGGGGAUUCCGUAAAUCUUCAACACCGUGAGCAUAUGUGCAAUGCUCCCCAUUCUUGCAGGUACCUUUGGAGAAUUUCGCAUAAAUAUGAGUCUUGUAAAAUAUAUGGCCCGUUCCUUUAGUCUCCGAGGAUUUAGUAAUGUCAUCAUGUGAUUUCAUUUGUGCAAAGGGUGCAAAAUUUGAUGGGUUGUUUUCAAGGUUCAUUAGUCUCUUGAAGGGAGGGGGAUGCUCAAAUUGAGAAACAGCUCCAUUCAUAGGAGGUGUAGGCCAAAACCUAUCAACAUCUCCACCGGCAAAAGGUAGAGGAAGAAAUGGAGGAAGUGGUGGUUGUUGUGCAGGAUCAGGAAAACUCAUCGUGUUUUGGUAUUUAAAGAAAUCUCCGAAUUCUUCUCACUAUGCUAAGUUUAAAAUCUUGGCAAUAAAAAAGAAAAAGAAAAAACCGAUACCAACCUGAAAUAAAUCAUAAGAAUUAAAAGACAAAAAUGACAGGGAUUGAAAUUUGAUGUGAUGUCAAUGCAAAUGAUCCUAAAUUGUUCAACAUAAUCAACAGCCACAUAAAAUAUUAGUCCAAAAUAGCACAAAGAAUUAAAAGCACCAAAAAAAUCAAGAAUAGGAAAAUUUGCAUAGAAAGAUAAGCCACAUCUGAACUACAAAAUCAAUAAUCAUGUACCAAUGUUUAGUCAUGAGGCUGGGGUUUUAAAUUCCCUCUAAAUAUAAAUUUAAAAUAUUAGAUUUAAGAGAUGAGAAAGUCAUAAUUUAUUUAGAACAAUUUUUAUUUUUACUUUUGUUUUUUGUUUUUUAUUUUAUUAGAAUCAAGCCCUUUAGUCUCUUAAUCUAACUUGAGUCUUAAAUUUUAACUGGAUCUUUCUAUCACAAUUAACCAGGCUAAGAAAUUUGCUAAGACACCUAAAGACUCCCCAGCUUUUAUGCUCUCGGAUCUUCCCCUUUUCUUUUUUCUUUUUUCUUUUUUUUUUUUUUUUUUUGUCUUUUGGCACCAAAAUUUUUAAUUGAAUUUAAUCUAAGCAAAUGAGAUUUCUGAGUAUAUUAGAAAUUCUAACAGGACAUGCUGAACAAUGAAAAUCACUCCUUCUGGAAGCAACUAAAAAAGGGGAAUGAAAUUGGCAUUGGGUGAAAGUUAAAAGCUAUUAGAUUUAUUUAUUAUUAUCUUUUUUUUUUUUUUUUGGUUUGGCUCUGCAAAGCUUAAAACAGGGCCAAAUAUUAUGUAGAUUAAGCAUAUUUCAACUGGAAAUCAAGGUCCAGUCCAACAAGAAAACCCUAGAAAUGGGUAAACCCAAACAGUGCCUUACACCUCAUACUGGCGAAAUAAAUAUGUGAUUAUCUUCAAAAUGGUGGUUGUAAUUGUGGGACCAGUAUAUUUGAAUUCAGAUUUUACAAAAACAAGAAGAAGUACCAAAUUGUACUCCUGCAUAUCGACAUUUGGCAUAGAGUGUUGUGGUCUUUGCAUUACCUUUGACAAUGAACUGGUCAAGGGAUCGUUCUAAAGAAAAAUCCAAUGGUUAAGGAUCGGAUUCAGGUACAUGUUGCAAAGAAGUUUUCACAAUGCCACUGCUUAAAAUUAUACUUGAUUUCAUAUAAGUGCAUGGCCUAAGAUUAUUUCUACUGCGUAAGAACUGUUAAGGGAAUAUAAUCCCACAUCGGUAAAAAUAUCGAAAUAAUGACCAAUAUAUAAAGAAUUGGGACACUCCUCUUAAUAAGGUUGACCUUAUUAAGAUGGACCCCAAGUCUUCACAUGGUAUCAGAGCCCAUUAAGCUCCAACGAGCGAUUCGAUCCGAUUAAGUCUCUAAAAAUGAGCACACGGAUUUCAAGAUUGGUCUGCUCAAAUGAGCCACCAUCUUGCGGGGGCAUGUUAAGGGAAUAUAAUCUCACAUCGGUAAAAAUAUCGAAAUAAUGACCAAUAUAUAAAGAAUUGGGACACUCCUCUUAAUAAGGUUGACCUUAUUAAGAUGGACCCCAAGUCUUCACAAGAACAGUACCCAUAAUCUGAAGCUUCACUAUAAGAGCUGAUUUUUGAAAGGAAAAACAAACCCGAAUCCUCUUACAAUAAAUUUCAAAGGAAUACUCAUUGCUAAGGUAUCAAUUUUCUUAAAUGUGUCUGACACUGUAUUUAAAAAGUACCAAUACGAUACGUUGUAAUUUCUUUUUUUAAAAUCAUAGUUUAUUUUAGUUUAAUAUUAUUUAUGAUUUUCCGUUACUAUUAAAAUCAUAAUCAAAUAGAAGGUACAAAGAUAUUUUUAUGUUUUGAAAUAAUCUUUGCUAUUCAAAUGUAAGCCUAUCAAUAUUUUUUAAAGAAAUUUAAUGUAGUUAGCCCUUUUUUAUUAAGAAUUGAGAAAAAGAAAUUGUGAGUAAUUUCCCCUCCCCAAUUGAGACGAUUGAUGUAGUAAAAAAUGUUUAGUGGGUAGCUAUGGUUGGGCUUUUAGAACUUCUAUAUAAAAUACAUCGUUCUUAUUGGGUGGUUGUAUUUUUUUGCCACUUGAAAAGAAGCAUGUCUGUGUGGCAAUAACACUGAAUCUGCAAAAAUAGAGUUCAAGGUUACGGUACUUUCUACUUCUCUAUUUUCAUUUUCUUCUUGGUUAUAUUUAAAUUUUUUGGCAUGUCGAACAUUACAACACACCGUGUCACGGCGAGUCAAUGAAUGUUUGGCGCCUGAAAAACAAAAAAAGAAGAUGAACACCGCCACUUGACAUUUUUGACACGUGUUAAAAGCAUGUCGGAGUUGUGGGGAAGAUCAACGCACCGAUGUCAACUACGUGUCUGCGCAUCUCAGAUCGAUACUGGUUACGUCAUCUUACAUAAGAAAUGAAAAAUUGUUUCAUAGCCUUGAUCAUUGUGAUGGGAAUUCAAUUCAAAAGCACCACCAUAUAUUAUUGUGGGAUACUAAAGAGUAAAAAACUGGGUUGAUGGUCAAUGGGUAGAAACUAAAAUUCUAUAAUAUGUAUUUAAUCGAAUUAAACAUAUAGAUGCUUAGUAAGUUAUCCUUGAUAUGUGCUUUAAACCUCUGACAAUCAAUGGAGCCCUGUACCUCCAAGUAUUCUUGGAUGUUACUCAAAACUUCAAGAAUGCCAUAUCUUUUUUAAGUGUACGGACAUUAGUGGAUGAAUAAAUGUGGUUUUUUUUUUUCCUUCUUUUUUUUUUUUCUUUUUUUGAUAAUUGGUUUUAACUAGUUUCAUUUUUAGUUUGGAAUAAUUUAUUUUAAGUACGUUGAUUAAAUAUUUCAAGAAUUGUCAUUUUCGAAAUAUGAAAAUCUGUAAAUGAAUUUUUAAUAUUCUUGUUUAUUCUCGUGUUUCAUAUUUUUUUUUUUUUUUAAACUAUGCCCCCACUGAAAUAAAUUCCUCGCUGGGGGAGUAGUGAUGAGGCAAGAAGACAUCCAACCAAUCAGCAUAAAUUCCCUUAACCUGCCUGUCGAGCUUCCAUUUCUUUCUUUCUGCAUCUUUAUUUGCUGGAGCAACGAUAACUGCAGUUGCAUGAGAUGAACCAAUUACAGGUAUGGGGAGAGGCUCUUCUGGAAUUUUGAGGCCUGUAUUCAUUAUCAGCUCUGUCUCAACACGAGCACCAGGUGACUGCAAAUCUGCAGAAAAGGAAGCAUAUGUGUUUGAAGUUUCACAUAUAAAGUAUUUUCGAUAGGAAAUAAACAUGCCACUAAUUGAAAGCGAUGUUCAUGUAGGAAAUGUUCUAUUGAAAUUUAUUAUAAGAAGGGCAUCGAAUUGAGCAAAAGAGAAAUAUUAGGAACUUGAUAACAUACUUUUCACGAUAUUUCUUUGCUUUCAUUUUGAUUCAAAUAUUACAGUAUAACCACGUACACGUUUGAUUUUAAAACAAAUAUCAUUAUUCGUAACAAUAUUUUGAAUGUGUUAUCUGGACUACAAAAUUUUUUGUUUGCGAAAAAGGACAAAAUAUGUUAUCUGCUGCCAUUUAAUGAGAACCUUCUUUUUCUUGUUAAUGCCAUAAAAGGAUAUUGCUAAACAAGGUAAAUCAGCAAGAUCAGUUCAUAGCAAAAACAUUAAUUGUGUUGAACUAAGCCAGAAAAGAAAGAUUUAAAUCGUACUACGAGUGACUAAAUAUACUUGACUGGUCUUGAGCAAAAUGAUAUGUUUCUCCGAAAGGGUAUCAGCCGAUCUCCCAUUUGCAACAUAUUUUCGUUUUCCAAAAUGCUGUCUUUGCUUAGAAAGUAUCGGAACUGCUGCUGAUGUUCUUACUAUAAUCAGGCUGAGCAUAAUCUUUUUUAUUUAUCAAAUCAGGCCAUGUAGCUCCAAUACUUUCAACAACUCUUGCUCUCUUUUGCCUUGAAAUGUCAGUCAUAAAUUUCAUUAGACGUUCAUGUAGAAAUUUGCAUUUCUCUCCAUAUCGACACUCAUGUCCGUUGUAAAAUAAAUUGCAAAUUUUCAUCUUGUAUAUCAGCCUUUUGUCAUCACUAAAAUCCCCAGUGCCUCUCUUCUUUCCUCAAACAAGCUCUUGCCGAUUUGGAGGGGAAUUUCAUAAUUCUUCAACAUCAUGAGCAUAUGUGCAAUGCUCGCCAUUCUUGCAGGUACAUUUGGGGAAUUUUGCACAAAUACAAGUCUUGUAAAAUGUAUAGCCCGUCCCUUUAGUGUCCAAGAUUUAUUAAUAUCAUUGCGGAAUUUAUUUGUGCAAAGGGUGCAAAAUUUGAUGGGUUGUUUUCAAAAUUCAUUAGUCUCUUGAACUGAGGGGGAUCCUCAAAUAGAGAAACAGCACCAUUCAUAGGAGGUGUAGACCAAAACCUAUCAACAUCUUCACUGGCAAAAGGUAGAGGAAGUAAUGGAGGAAGUGGUGGUUGCUGUGCAGGAUCAUGAAAACUCAUCGUGUUUUGGUAUUGAAAGGAAUUUCCUGAUUCUUCUCACCUAUAACUAUACUAAGAUAAAAAAUAAAAAAUAAAAAAUAAAAAUAAAACAAAAAUAAAAAAUCUGAUACUAACCUGGAAUAAAUCAUAAAAUUAAAAAACCAAAAUGAUGGAUUGAAAUUGGGAGUGAUGUCAAUGCAAAUGAUCAUAAGUUGUUCAGAAUAAUCAACAACAGCCACAUAAAAAUUUUGUGCAAAACAACACAUAGAAAUACAGCACUGAAAAAUCAAGUAUCAAAAAAUUUGAAUAGAAAGAUAAGCCACUUCUAAAUUACAAAAUCAAUAGUGAUGUAUCAUUGUUAAGUCAUGAGUUUGGGGUUUCAAAUUCCAUCUAAAUAUAAAUCUAAAAUAUUAGAAUUAGAAGAUAGGAAACUCAUAUUUUAUUUUGACCAAUUUUUAUUUUAAAUUUGUUAGAAUCAAGCCCUCUAGCCUGUUGAUCUAACUUGAAUCUUAAAUUUAACUGGAUCUUUCUAUCACAAUCAACCAAGCUCAGAAAUUUGGGAAGAACCCUAAAGACUCCCCAGCUUUUAUACUCUCUGUUCUUUCCUUUUUUUUUUUUUUCCUCCUUUGGCAGCACAUUUUUUACUAGGGUUAGGUUUCUAUUAGGGACAUCAAGAGGUUUCUUAUUGAUAAUUAAGAAAUUGAUUUCUAGGGCCGCCAUAAGGGCUUGGAACUAAAUCAGUUCACCAGCAGUAACUCAAAUGUCUGGGAGGAAGCAAUUGAAAUAAAAACCUCAGGUCUUCAUCUUGUUCUUCACAAGGAUAUGUUAGAACAGAAGUGCUUGCCUCCUUUCGGGAUUCACUUUUACAACUUACAAGUUUUCUCCAAGAAUUUCAUUUAAUAGUGAUCUAAAAUGUAAAAUCAUAAGAACCUAGAAAGCGAUACUGUACUUUAGAAGAACAAGAAUUCAAUUCUUGACCAAAAUUAAAUUUGCAAACAAUCUUACUAAUUUAACAAGACAACUGAAUUUAUAUUGUUCCAUAAUGGAUUCCUCAAGAAUAUUUUCACGAAAAACAAGAAAUAAUUUUUUUAAUUCUUGAAAAUUUUAAAAAUAACUGUUUAUAUUCAUCAUUUACAAACAAAAAAUUAGACAAAGCAGAAUUACCAAGCAUGAAUUUAAUUUGAAUUAAUUUGAUUUUCAAGAAUACUAGAAAUUCUAACAGGAGAACUCUGUUGGAAGAAAGAGGGGUUUACUAACUUGGAUUGACUAAGGCUUUUAAGAGGACAACACUAAUAGGAAGAAGGAAGUGAAAAAAGAAAACUUGUAAUUCUCAACUUCAAGACUUUACACACUUUUUGGCUUAUUACAAAAUGGAUGGCACUACCCCUUUAUAUAGUGUUUACAUGAAACUUCUAGUCUACGCAAUUUUCUAGAGACAUCUAGACCACACAUCAAGAUAUUUUUCUAGAAUUCUCUAGAUAUUCUUCAUAAGACCACAUAUGAAGAUGAUGGAGAAGCAUCAUAAGACCAUGGUGUCCUUUCGCUCGAGCUUUCUCCUUGUGAAGAUGAUGGAGAAGCAUCUCCACGAGUAGACGAUAGAGGUGGAUUGAUAAGCUCUUGCAGCUCUUCAUUCUCUUAUUCUUCUUCUUCAAAGAUUGGUAAAAAGUCGUAGUCUUCUUCUUGGACAGCCCAAUCCCAAGCUCCUUCUUCAUCAAGCUCGACAUCUCUACUUUUGAUGAUCUUCUUCUUAUUUGGAUUAUACAACUUGUAGCCUUUAGAGCGAGAGUCAUAACCGAUAAAAACAUACCUUUCACUCUUUUCAUCUAGUUUGGAUUGUUUUUGAUCUGGUACAUGAGCAUAUGCAAUGCUCCCAAAUACUCGUAAGUGAGAGAUGCUAGGCUUUCUUCCACUCCAUACUUCUUAUGGUGUCUUAUUCCACACUUUUUUAGAAUGCGAUUGAUUAGACAGAUACACGGUGCAAUUAACAGCUUCGGUCCAAAGUUCUUUGGGCAAUCUCUUACUUUUGAGCAUGCAACGAGCCAUAUUAAGAAUUGAUAUAUUCUUUCUUUCAGCUACUCCAUUUUGUUGUGGAGAGUAUGGAACCGUCAAUGGGCGAUGAAUUCCAUUCUCCUCACAAUAUUUCUCAAACUUUUUGGAGGUGAACUCUCCUCCUCUAUCCAAUCUUAAGGCUUUUAUACUAUAUCCACUUUCUUUUUCAACAAGAGUUUUAAACUUCUUAAAAGUUUCAAAAACUUCCGAUUUUUGUUUGAGAAAAUAGACCCAAGUCUUUCUACUAAAAUCAUCAAUAAAAAGAACAAAGUAAUUGCUUUUACUGAGAGAGCUUAGAUUAAUUGGCCCACAAACAUCAGAGUAUACAAGUUCUAACGGCUUCUUAGCUCUUGUAGAUACUUCUUUUGGAAAACUUUCCUCGAAUGCUUUCCAAGUAAGCAUCCUUCACAUAAUUGAUUUGCAUGAUUUAUUGGAGGCAAACCUUUCACCAUCAAUCUUACUCAACAACUUUAAGCCUCCAAAUUAAGAUGCCCAAAUCUCAAGUGCCAAAGCCAAGAUGAAUUUUUAAAACAAGAUUUUAAGCAUUUGGCAACAUCAUUUUAAAUGCUUAACACAAACAUUCUAUUUCUUGUUAUAGGUACUUUGGCAAUCAAAUUUUCUCUUUGAUCUCUUAUUAAAAGACUAUGAUCUUUCAAAUGAAUAUCAUAACCCUUCUCUAAGAGUUGUCCUUAACUUAAAAUGUUAUUUUUCAUAUUGGGCACAUAAUAGACAUUUGAGAUAAAUUGAUGAGUAUCAUUUUUCAAGCGGAUCAAGAUUUUACCUAUUUCUUUCACUGGGAUCUUGGAUUCAUCUUCAAAGGUAUUGUUGCCGCUUACUGAUUCAUCAAGUUCCACAAAUAUGUUUUUUCUUCCACAUACACGAUUGCUUGCUCCAGUAUCCAAAUACCAAGUGUUCUUUUCUCUACUCUCUUUACCUUUGUAAGCUAAUAUUAGUGCAAGAUCCACUUCAAUUUCCCAACAAGCAUAGUUAGCUUUCUCCUUAACUUGGUUAGUACUAUUUUUACAUUCUGAAGCAUAAUGACCAAGUUUUUGACAAUUGUAACAUUUAAUUUGAGAUUUGUCAUACCUGGCCCUUCAUUUUCCCUCGUACCUUUUACUCUUCCAGGACCUCUGGAGGAAAAUAAGCUUUGUCUUCUUUCCUCCUUGUAGAAUGCACUUCUUAAUCGCUAUUGGCCUCUUCCUCAUCCUCUUCCUCUUUGGCUUCUAUUAGUACUGAACCUUCCUUCACCCUCGUUCAAAGUGAGCUUUGUUUGAAGAGCUUGCUCUAAUGGCUUUUCUUUCACCUUCUUCUUUAGUCUUUCCUCAUGGGCUUGUAAAGAUCCCAUGAGUUGAUCAACACUCAUACUAUCUAGAUCUUUAGAUUCCUCAAUAGCUACAACUAUGUAAUCAAAUUUAGAAUCUAAAGACCUAAGUAUCUUCUCAAUUACUCGAGUGUCAUUCAACUUUUCUACAUUCCUCUUUAAUUAAUUCACAAUAGCCAAUACUCUAGACAAGUAAUUAGAAAUUGAUUCCAAUUCUUUCAUAUGUAAAGCUUCAAACUCACCUCGAAGUGUUUAGAGUAUAAUCUUUUUCACCUUCUCAACUCCUUUGUGGGAGUUUUGCAAAAUCCCCAUGCUUCCUUACUUGUAGUAGCACAAGCUACUUUCUCGAACAUGCCUUCAUCUAAGGCUUGAUAGAUGAGGGUAAGCGCCUUCUUGUCCUUCUUCCUUGCAUCCUUCAAACUAUCCCUUUGUACUUGGGAUAAAGCAACCUCGUCUUGUGGCUCCGUGUAACCUUUCUCUACGUUCUUCCAUGCAUCUUGGGACCCGAGCAACGCUUUCAUCCUUAUGCUCCAAUUGUCGUAGUUAUCCUUGUUGAGUUGGGAAACUUGAAAAGGAAUCAUCUCACUUGCCAUUUUUCACAAGAACCUUAGGGCUCUGAUACUAGUUUGUUGGAGGAAAUAGGGGUUUACUAACUUGGAUUGGCUAAGGCUUUUAAAAGGACAACACUAAUAGGAAGAAUGAAGUGAAAAAAGGAAACUUGUAUUUCUCAACUUCAAGACUUUACACAUUUUUUGGCUUAUUACAAAAUGGAGGGCAUUGCCCCCUUUAUUUAGUGUUUACAUGAAACUUCUAGUCCACACAAUUUUCUAGAGAUAUCUAGAUCAUACAUCAAGAUAUUUUCCUAGAAUUCUAUAGAUAUUCUUCAUAAGACCACAUAUCUUACUUAGAUAUUUAUAUAGAUUUUUCUAGACAAUAUUUCUAGAAAUACUAGGCAUGUAGGGCCUUUUAAUUGAUUUGGGUCUAUAAGCAAAAUCCUUAAACUCUUAUUAUUUAGUCCAAAAAUCAAGUUUACUACUCAACAAGCUCAUGCUGAACAAUGAAAACCACUCCUUCUGGAAGGAACUAAACAAGGGGAUGAAAUUGGCAUUGAGUGAGUUUUUAAAGUUUUUAGGCCCCCCCCCCCCAUCUAAAAAGCUUAAAACUAGGCCAAAUAUUACAUAGAUUAAACAGAUUUCAAAUAGAAAUCAAGGUCUAGUCCAAAAGGAAACCUAAGGAAUAGCUAAACCUAAGCGUUGCCUCACACCUCUUAAUGACAAAAUAAAUAUGAGAUUAUCUUCAAAAUGGUGGUUGAAGUUUGUAAGACCGGUAUAUUUGAAUUCAGAUUUUACAAAUACAAGAGGGAUGUUCAAAAUUGUACUCCACAUAUUGACAUUUGGCAAGCACUAUUUUGGUCUCUUCAUUACCUUUGACAAUGAAAUGGUCAAUAAGACGUUUUAAAGAAAGAUCUCGCCAUUGAGGAUCGGAUUCAGGUACACAAUGCAAAGAAAUUUUCACAGUACUACUGCUUAAGAUUAUACUUGAUUUUAUAUAAGCGAACCACCUAUGAUUAUUUUUAUUGCUUACACUACAAGAAAAAUGAUAUUUUAUGACUAAUGCUUCAAGGACAAAAUCAAUUUGGUGGUUAAAAAUUAUUUUCGACGAUUAAACAUAAGUUUAGUCGUACAAAAUGGUUAAAUUAGUCGGAAAUAUUUUAUAACGACCCAUAAAUAAUUGUUAAUUCUAUAUCUUUUAUGACCAAAUUAAAUUGGCCGUUGUGAGUGGACGCCAAAUCAAAAAUUCCCACCAAAAUGUCCGUUCAUAUUCAACGACAGCGCAAUUGGUAGUAAACAUUCGAUUACAAUAAUGUCUAGUAGUUAAUAUACUAAAACAACAAUUGAUUUGUCUUGUUGUUGAAACUAAAGAAAAAUUCGACAUUCAACGACUACUUUAGUCGAUGUUAAUGGUGAUUUCAAUUUCCCCUCCUAAAAUUUCACUUCCUGCCAAAAUAUUCUUUUGGCUCUCAAAAUUUCAUAUCACGGUCAAACAAUUUUCACUCAUCCAUGCAGGCAUUUCAUUUCACUCCAAAACCCUAAGCUCAAAUCCAUAACUUCAUCACUUCUCAUUGAUGUACAUCGCCUCCCUCUUCCUCUUCCUCACUCUCUCUAACUCUUUCUCUUUGAGCACAUAGAGAUAAAAAGGAACCUUAAAUUUCAAUCUCCACAAUCGUCGAAAUGUCACCACGUACCUUUCCAAACUUUUUCCACCAAAUAAACUACAAUAUAUGUAGUAUAAAAGAAAAAUGAAAAAUAUCCUCCAUCCCAUAUUUUAUAUACUAAAAGCUGAAAUCAUGCCACCAGACACGCCUCAUAAACCACCUCGAAUUCACUUCCUAUUUCUCAAAUCUCCCACCUUUACCAUUAAACAAUUGAACUAAGAAAUUGGUAAAUCAAAACAAAAAGAUAUUCAAUACACUCCAAGAACUCUACAAAUCAUAUCUCAACCUAUAAUUCCACCAUAUUUUUCAUCCAAAAAAUCUUUGUUUUUGAGACACACACACACACACACACACACCGAUUCGUUGCAUUUUUCAUCAAUCUCAUGAUCCAUGUAAAUCUACUGAAGAUAUGCAUAGAGAGAGUUAACGAUUCCAAUCUCUAUAAAACUUCAUUAUUUUCAAUCUUUGCAUCAAAUAAUUUAUUAAAAUCCUAUUUGAGAGAUUACACACCAGGCAUCAAGCUUCUGACCUAUUAGAUGGAAACUCCAAAACACAUUUCAACUAGGGAUUCGACAAGAACAAUCUGUGGUUCUGUACUACACCAUCAAUGGAGUUAUUGGACACCAAGAAUGAAAAUCUGGAAACUCUUUCAAGAUGCAUCACUUGUUAAGUAAGCAAUUUGAUGGAUGCAAGGGACAAUGUUCAUAGGUCAUCUGAUUCUAGCCAUUCACAUCCAGGAGAUGCAACGAUCCAAAAAAAAAAAAAAAAAAAAAAAAAAACAAGACAACUCCUCCAAGAGGCAUAUUGAAUUGGUUGUUCUAAACCCUAGUUCCAAUAAGAAAAAAAUUCUUAAUCAACUUCCAACCAAACGAUUGAUGUGAUGGCAGAAAACUUCAACGUGAACAUCUCAUGAUCGUACUUGGCUACCCAACUAUUCAAGCAUGGUACGAGAAGCAGAUAGAAGGUUAUGAGAUGGACUUUGAUAUAAAUUUUUUUGGCAUAUAUAUGCUGGGCUUUUUAAAUUGUUAAGUGGGUACUAACUAGCAAGAGUCCAAUGCUCUGAAUUUGGUUAAAGCUUGUCAAAUUUGGUUCUUGCUUAUUAAAAUGUGAAGUGAGACUAUUUUGUUGAGACUUGGAAUUUGCUAAUGUGUUACAUUUCAUUUGAUGCUAUAUGUUUCAAACCAUUCAUGUAUCAUUUCAAGUCAUGUCAAACACUACCUACACACUACACACAAAUGAAUAUAUAGUUAAAAUGUAUCAGCAUGACCCCAAACCAAGAAUGUGUGUCAAUGAAAAAUACAUACAAUAUGACGCAAGAUAUAUAAUACUCAAAGACAUGUCAUCUAAUGUAAUGUGAAAGAAAUAGCUAGGGGAAAAAAUUAGAGAGUGAAAAUAAGUACAGUAAGGGUUGUGCCAUGGUAAUGGUUAUGUGUGCCAAUUUUUCAUUAAUGCAUUGCCACUAAUAAUUUAGCCCUCCAAAAAUUAGAUAACUUGUCUCUCCCAUUUACAAUAUACACAUGAAGCUCAUGACUUUAUCAUCUUGGUCGAAUUGCACACUUAGAUGUUACAUAUUAUGCAAUGAUACACCUAACUAAUUGAAUCAUAUAAUUUGCAUUACACUAGAAGUUAUGUGCUUCAUACUCAAUUUGGUGUCAUGUAAACAAUAUUAUAAUUUUGUGGAUGCAUGGUGAAGCACAUGUUAAUCUAAGUUAAUUUGCUAAGUUUAUGUUGCUGAAGUGAUAUAAGUUUGGCGAUAUAUGUUAAAGUUUGAAUGUAUUCUGUUUUGCAAAUUAAAUUGCAGUCUGCCUUCAUUAGCAGAGCAAAUGUGAGAUCUGAGGUAAGUGAUGUCUGUCUUUGACUGCAUCAUGGCUAGUGCAUCAUGGUACUGUUUGUCUGCGGCCAGGAUAAGUGAAAGGUUAAUGCUGAAUUUGAAAUGAGCAAAAGACUAAAUUCGGAGAAAGAAUUCAUAACAUGCAAUAAUUUAAUGGGGUUGAGGGCAAUGCCAUAUGACAGGAAUAGGAAAGAAACUAAUGUAGUUGGUUACUUGAAAGAAAUAUGUAACUAUGUUUCUAUCUAACAUUGGUGAUCAAAAUUUUCCAUCUGAUAGUUCAAUUGUUGUUUUUUAUUACACCAAUAACGGAUUGAUAAUCUUUAUUGUAUGAUGAUUUUUGAGUCGCUUGACAGUUGACACUACAAGUCUGGGACCAAAAAGAGUUACCCAUCGGAAAGAUCAAGAUUUAGCUUUUGUCUUACUGAGAACAUAUUUCUCGCAGAAUGAUAAAAAUAUGAGAACAAUUCAAGAAACACAUUGUACUGGAACCUGUGGCAAGUGCACUUCAUUUCCAUCAAAUCAACAAUACAUUGUAUGUUUUUGUUCGAAUCUUUGUACAAGAAAUCAUUUGACGCCAAUAUCUAAUAAAUGAAAAAUAAUCUGGAUAUAGAGGUACUCAAAUGAAAAGUAAAAAAUAAGCUUGAAUGAUUGAAUUAACUAUUAUUUGCAAGUUUUUUGUUUAAUAAAAUAAUCCGAUAAACUCAUAUUGUUACACAUACCUGCAAGGCUAGAACUCCAUAUGCAAAACUGAGUUCUAAAGAGAAAAGUACUGUGUUCUAGAGAGAGAAAACUAUAGAUAAACAAUGGCAUUUACAAUCCUUCGUAUAUAUCAGUUGUGUUUCUUACACUAAGUUCUGUAUCUAAUGCCUGUUCGCCGUCGAACCGGGCAACUUUACUGGCCUUCAAGUUCAAAGCUACCUUGCAUGAGCCCUACUUUAGCAUUUCUGACUCAUGGACUGGUACUAACUGUUGUCAUAAAUGGCAUGGAGUGAGCUACGACCAGGAGAUUCAUCGAGUUGUCGACAUCAACCUCCGGGGGAAUCAGAGGACUAGUUUACACAAAAAAGUGCUAUCGUCUAACAUAAUGUAAAACAAAAUCUUGAUAGACAAGAAUUAUGCAAUUGAUUCAAAGAUUCGUAAUAAUAUAUGCAAUGUACGGAAUUAAUUAAUAAAAACACUCAAUUAUUCAGAUUAUGGCAAGGAAUCUAAAAAUAAAGAUUUAACAUAUGAGCAAUAGAUGAAAGUUACUGGUAUAUUCAUCAGUUAAUACCCACCAUAUUUCAUUGAUCGAAAACAUCAUAUACCAUAUGUCUGUAUUGAAUUUAAAAAAAGGGGUUCUGUGCAGUAAUCGACACAGAAUAGGUUAUUGCAUACUUGAUAGAACGGAGAAGAAGAUUCAUAUCAUGUUCAUGAAAACUAAAAGAACGGAGAGCAGAAUUUCAAUUUUUUGGGCACUUUAUGUUAUCCAUGAACUUGAAUUAAGCUUUGUUUUUGCAAACGCAAUUAAUGAAAUGUUUAAUGUUUGCCAUUUUAAAUUUCGGUUACAAAUGAAAAACAUGGAAAUUAUAGGUCAGUACUUCUGCAAUAAAAACCAUAGCAACGUAGUAUUUUAUGUUUGAACCGAGCUACAUGACCCACACGGAUGACCGCACAGACUCAUACACGGAGGCCCCUUUUUUUUUAAUCACUUGGGACCCACCUCGACAUGUGAGGGUACGGUCGCCCAUUGUAUCAACCAUGAUGUUCAUUUGGCAUUUUCCUUUAUGUUUUUGCCUACAAUUAUAGUAUUUUAUGAAAAAAAAUUUUAAUAAUGGGUAUAUAUGAUGUUUCCCCUUAAUUCUAUAAAAUCGGCCCAAUUAUAACCAGAAGUGCCAAAUAAGACUACUGUAAAGUUGGCCCAAUACAAACUAUAGGUCAUGGCUCAAAUUAAAACUUGCAAAUGAUUUGAUAAUAUUAAUUGGCCCACUUAAACAUAACUAGAGUCCAUUCCAUAGUGGCCCAACAAUUAUGGCACAAUGAAUGAUUACUUAUGAGUGGAAAUUACAUAAAUCCAGGUGUUUAAAAAAUCCGAGUUGAAGUUUUAUCAUUCAUAAUUCAGGUCCUUAUGUAUUAAAACCCUAAUUCAUUUCAUCUCUCUAGUUCUCUCUCCCCAUUGUAAGCUCUGCCUCCAUCCAUUCUCUCUGCACGACUGUACUAAUCCGACAAUUGUUACCACCCGCCGUGUGGUGUGGUGGUGCCACUCAAUCGAUUGAUGGUAGCGCCGAGUUGCAGGUUGUAGAUUAGGGCUGCUAUGGGUAUACCUUGUGUGGGUAAAGGCUAUUGUGGUGCCGGAAUUUGGGUACGGUGGUAGUGAGACGGCAACUGGAGCCGGUGUUGGAAGGGGUUUGCGACGCUUGCAGGUUCAAAACCAAGGCUGGAGCCUGUGUUGGAAGAGGUUUGGGACUUUUUGGGUGUUAUUUCUUUCUUUUUCCAGUCAGUAGGUAAUAAUUUUAGGGGUUUGUUUGUUGUAUUUUCAUAUCUUGGCUGUGGCUGUGGCUGUGGCUGUGGCUGUGGCUGUGGCUGUGGCUGUGGUGGUGGUGGUGGUGGUAGUAGGUGCGAUGUGGGUGGUGGUGGUGAUGGUCGUUGAUGCAGGUGGUAGAGCUAGUGAUAUGUGUGCUGAUUUCUGUGAUUUGUGUGGUGGUGCUGGAGAUCGAUACUGUGAGAUGGGUGGUGGACACAGGUUGAUGUGAUCAUGGGAACGUCUCAAAAUUGCAAUGAAUUGACGAUUGAUGAACAGAGAUCGAUCCGAGUUUUGAGCGUAAUUGGAAUCAAUAAAAACAGCCAAAUUUAUUUUUUUGAAGUAAAGAAAUAUAAAUUGUUGAAGUUAACAAACUUGGAAUCAGUUUACAUGCUGGGAAUGGGAGACAAAAGUUGUUGACCAGAUUUUGUCAACCAAUGGAAGUGGGCAACCGAAGCAACUGGAUUUGGAGCCAAGAAUUCAAGCCUUGCGACCGCAAGGCAUAACCCGAGUUGCGGCCACACAUGAUGGAGCAAAAAUCUGGGCACGGCAGUUUGCAUCAACCAUGAGACUGCACCACUUUUCACUAUGCGGUCGCGACGUUAAUUCGAGGACCGGAUUUCGCAAUUUUGGGCCAGUUUCCUAGUUUAACUAGAAUUCUUAUCUUUUGCUAUCUUUAGGUUAUUUGGGGAUGUAUUUUAUCCCUUUUAAACUAGGAUUUUAAUAAUUUUAUUCCUUUUUAAUUAUUUUUAGGUAUUUAGUAUAAAUAGCAAAUUUCUUUCAUUGCAACAUUAGAACGUUGAAUUAUGAAUUGAUGGAGAUUUUUCCUUUCGAAGCUCUUGCUUCAAUAUCUUGUUCUUGAAUGGCAAAAACUGAACUUAUCAAGACUAAUCAUCUUGUGGAGUUCAAAUAAUCGGGUGAGAUUCGUUGGGUUGUAUAAUCAAAAGGUCCUUCGCAUCGCUAUUAUCGUUGGGUUGUUUGAUUCAUUAAUUCUUUGGGUCAAAUCCACAAAUCCGGGUGACGUUCAAUAAUUGUGUGAUCAAGAGGUCAAUAGUUUAAUAUACUAUUGGUUGUUUGGUUCGUGAUUCUUGGAUUAAAUCCAAAACCUUGGUUCUUUGGCGUUCUUGGGAUCUGGUGUCAAUUCUUGUGGGUUCGAUAGCGAUCUAGCUAUUCGAGUUCACAUCACAUGUGGUGAUGGUGUUCACAGAUGAUUUGAUUGUUUGUGAUCAAGAAAUUGGAGUAUGUGACCAACCAUUUAAUCUUCUUUGACCAACUAUUCAGUGUGACAUAAAAAUUUAAUAAUAUGUGACCAAGCAAUUUGAUCUUGAAAUAAUCUGUGACUUGUAAAUUUUUUAUUUGUGACCUCGAAAUAAAUUGUGAUCAAUUAAUUCGACGAUAUGUGACUAGUAAAUAAAUUUGUGACCAAUAAUUAUAAAUUCGUGAACAUUAAUCGUGUAACCGUGAUUUUAUUAUAUUUAAUUAGUAAAUAUUUUCAAUUAAUUAUACAGAUACGUGAAUCUUGAAUUUUUUAAACUUUGUACCUGGUUUGUGAAUUGGUAUAAACAAUACACCCGAAUUAUGAAUUUUUCCCUUACUUAUUAUAUAUCCAAACUUUGUAAGGAAAUCAGUCAUGAUUAAUGGCCCAAUAAAAAUUCUUAUCAUUUGAAAACAAGUACAAUAACUUACUUCAAAAGCAAACAAGAAAACAUUAUAGAGUGCUCCAUUUUGAAAAAUCACACUCAUCUUCUUCCUCUAGUGGGCAAAAUCAGCCCGGUUAUGACCCCUUCAAAUUCAACCUUCCUCGAUGAAAAUCCGAAGUUUAAAACCCCACACAGUCUAGUCAUGUGAUUUAAGGAGAAAUCUGAAUUUAUUUUCGGAAAAAAUUCGGCCAUAAGAUAGAGUUUUGUAGAUUACGGUGAAACACCAAGACAAAGGUAAUUAAUAUGCUGCUUUAAUGCCAAAUGUUAAACUAAAAUUCGAUCCAAAACAAUUAUGCAGAAACAAGUUGAAUCAAAAAAUUCGCAAACUCAUGGAUCGAGUUCAUACUUCAAGCUAUUGAUGUUGUUUCAAGUAAUGGCACUUAAAAGUCUCAACACCCUGAAAUUGAUGGUUUAUAAUGUAUUUUUGAUGGUCGAACUUAGGGACCAAACUUAUCUAUAUAUAUAGCCAAAACCUUCAUCAAGUUAUGGCUACUUUUACCUUUGAAUCAAUGAAGAAAAGAAACCCCAUAAUGCUGUAUGUAAAUGUUGAAAAUUGAAACCAUGUAGGUGAACCAUCAAUUGCUUGUUGAAGAAACUUGAAUAAUGGAUCGAUUACAUGGUGUUCAUGUUGUAAAAGGCAAGCCCACUGCAAAGGCAUAUUUAUCACAUCUAACCACCACCACUUUCUACCCAAUCAAGUGCUCCUUGGCAAAAAUGGAGUCGGGGCAGCCAAGUAUGUGGUUCAUGGCAUCUAUGACUACUCUCUAUGCACAAAUAAUCAACCUACUGUUACUCCCGGCAAGCAUCCCUCCUGAUAAUAGAUAAACCUCGCAAUUUUUACUUCCAUUUGCCAUAAAAUCUAUUAUAAACUAUUAGAGAGCCAUAGAAGUAAAACCAAAAAUUAGCCAUGACAUCUGUAUAAUUUCUUGAGGAGGUAGGAGGGGAUAGUUAAUUAAGAGUGGUUAUGGAUAUACAAAUGGGCCCACAAAUGGACUGUGAUUGUAUCAACAAUCGUGGAGAUUGAAAUUUACGGUUUCUUUUUCUCUAUAUAUGAUCAAAGAGAAAGAGUGAGGAAGAGGAAGAGAGGCAGUGUAUGUUACAAUCCAAUUUUUAUAGUCAAAAAUUCAAAUAUUGACUAGUCAAAGUCAAAGUCAAUCAAGGACUAAAAGGAAAUUAAAUAUUUUAUUUAGGUUAUUUUGCAAUUGGCAAAAUAUAAAGGUUGAAUUGGAUAUAUUUAAAAGUUUGGAAUUUAUAUAUAUACUUUUGGAAGUUAAAAGAUUAAAUGUUACUAAAAAGUGAAGUUAAGGGAUUUAUUGUGCAAAUUUUGGAUUUUGGACUACAUAUUCAAACCUUUGACCCAAUUUUAACCCUAUUUCACACACACACAGAGUAAACAUACGGGAAGGAGCAGAGACCGAGAAAGAAGGAGAAAAAGAGGAAAAGAAGAAGGGAAAAAGGAAAAGAAGAAGGGAAAAAAGAAGAGGAAAGGAGGUAAGGUUGAUAUCUUCAAGUUGGGUUGAAAUUUUCCAUUUGUUUUAGGUGAUAAAGUAUGAAUUAUGUUAAAAUUUUUAGGGUUUUAACUUGUUGAAUAAUAUGUCGAAUUUUAGGGAUAUUUGCUCGAAUUGGAGCUCAAGUGUGGGGAUUUAUUCAUUUCAAAUUUUCAGCAAGGUAUGGAGAUGUCAAAUUUUUGGGAAAACCCUAGAAUCCGAUUUUGGGGGUUUUAAUUAAUUAAUUGUGAAGUGAUUAUGUAAAUGAAAUAUUUCACUUAGGAAUUGAUUUUAUGGAACAAAUGUAUAUUAUGUGGGUGGAAUUGUGGUUACUAGUUUCAUUAGAUUGGAGAGUAAAAUUAGUUUUAAAUUUGAAAUGAUGGUUAUGUUGAUAAAUUAGUGAUUUUUAAUUCUUUCUUUUUUUGUUUAAAAAAAAAAAAACAAAUAAAAAGUUGAAUCGAUCAGACCACCUGAAAAGGGUAGAAACUUGUGCUGUGACUAAGCACACAAUUAUGUGCAAACAUGGGGUAAAAUUACCUGUGAUGCCAUGACUUUAAUUCUCAUCCACAAGACUCCGAAGUAGACUACCCAAAGAGUCAGUCACUUUGUGUAAACAACAGUAAAAUCCAAUCGAUAAAUCCAACAAACGUAUAACUACAUACAUACAUGCAUACGUUGUUCAUACACACACACAGAGCCAGAGAAACUUGGGAGUUCCCAUAUUCAUUUUCCUAAACAAUCUUGACAAAAAAAGACAAUCUUUGUCGAGGCCUUGUCAAAUGGCUUUGGCACUAGGCAACGGUUAAUUCUUAUACCAGCCGCUAAGAAAGCGCAGCAAUUACAUUAAUAUCCCUGCCUUGUUUGGUUCCACAUCGCAAUUCCUGGGGUUUUCCUAAAGGGCUCAUUGUUUUUCUUCAUUUCAUUUUACACCAUAAAAAUUUGUAGGGGUGUGCUUGAUUGCAAGGAAUUUGAAUGAAUAUUUUUAAUUGUUGGUCAAAGUUGUUAACAUAUUGGUGUGAAACCAUUGAAUGACUCUUUUGUAAGGAAAACUGGUUGAAGCAAUCGCGAUAAUGAAAUAUGUAUUUCUUGUAAAUUUCAUUUUAUGUAAUUUCAAGAAGUCUGCGUUCAACACUUUUUACGCGUAAUUAUUAUUUUCGGUUUUUUACUUAUAUUUUUGUUGAACAAGUGAUCCCCUAAAUUUUUACACUCAACACAUACAUAUUAGUCAACAUAUGAUGGGAUUUGCAUGUGCAACUAACAAAACUUAUAAGUCUUUGAAUAUUUAAAUUUUCGACCUUGAAGUGUACAGACUUUUCAUUUGGUACAAAACUUGUAGCCAACUUUUGUAGACUAGCAAGAUGCAAUUUAUUUAGGGAAACAUUUUUUAUUUAUAAAAUUCCAAAUCGAAAACAUGUAAUGGGUCGAUACUUUCAAUUAAGGACAUCAAAACCAGCCGUAUUGAUUAGGUAGGUAGGUAGGUCGAUCUAUGUAAGGGUUUAGCCCCCGUUUGACCCCAUUUUUCGAAGUAAAAAUGGGUGGAAUAGUAUUUUUUUGAAAAAUGAAUGGUUGAAAAAGAAGUAAAAAUUUUCGGUUUACGUAUAAUAUUAUUUUAUGAAAGAUUAUGUGGUUGAAAAUAAAAGAGCGAAAAAUGAAAUGUCAUUAAUUUAAUGUAAUGGGGGCCAAACAGGGGCUUAAUUGACACGAUCCUUAUAUGAUCUAUGAUAUUUUAUUUGAUACUUAUCCAUUUGAAUUUUUUUUUUUAAAUAUGAUAAACGGCUAUCAAAUUGCGGGCUUAAAGGUUAAACUCACAAGGUUUUUGCUCUGAUGAACCCUCAAAACAAUUUAUUAGGAAAAAAAAUAACUAAAUAUAAUGUUUAUUAUGAAAAUAUUAUCUAAUUGAAAAACAUGCUUGAAAAUAUAGAAAAAUCAAACAAACAAAACUUUGAAUCUAAUUACAUUAUAGUAUUAUUUUAUUCAACUUGUUUACCCAAUUUUGGCUACUUGCCUCUCAUAAUUUCUGUGAAAAUAAUAAUCCAACCAAAUCAUAAACAAUAAUUCAUAACUGCUGUAAACAACAUCACAUAAAGUAAUUUGAUGCAUUGCACAACAAUCUUUGAUGUUAUUAUUUAAGAAGCUUUAAAAAAGUCAAUUAGGCCCCUCAAAUGCUCAUCCCACUUUGAACGACUCGAUCUAACAAAUUGAUACUAAAUUUAUUGAUAAUGAGAUUUAAUUUUCCGUAUAACAGUCUUUAUCAAAUAACUAGUUCAUCAAACUGUACCUUGAUUUAAUUUGAUUUCUUAAUAGGAACCAAGCUUGCGGCAGAGGAAGGAAUUGCUUUGGUGUUGAUGGUGGUCGUUUUGGGCUGUUCGAUUCAUCGGUAUUUCGGGAUUUCACCAGAGGAAUUUGCUGUUGAGUAGCGAUGUCCCGACCGGCAAACUUUUGAGGAGGAAAGAAGAAAUCAGUGGGGAAGAAUUUGUACUGAAGUCCAGCCAUGGAUGUAUAGAAAUGAGUUAU
rnacentral:lncRNA from 1 species